rnacentral:lncRNA from 1 species
UACCAUUGAUGUCCAAUAGCUUUGAUAGUAAUGGCUGCAUCUACAAAUACCCCAUCCAUUGAGUAUAACAGAGCAAAUGAUGGUAUAGCAAUGAACAAUGGAAUGACACUAGGAAAAAUGGUCCAAAUAAUUUCGAUUGUAGUUCCAUGAACAAUCCUUUGCGGGAUUGGAUUAGUUUGCUCGUUGAAAUGCCAUAAAGCGCGAACCAACAUCCGUGAUACGAAAACCAAAAUCAGAAUGAGGAAGAAAAAUAUAUCGUGAUGUAAGUCAAUGAUUCCUUGCAUCAUAGGUGUUGCUGCGUCUUGAGAUCCUAAUUCACAUGGUUCCGCAACAUCACAAAGAGCGAUUGUGAGGAAUCGACAUUCUAAUGAACGAAGAAUCAUUGGCAGCACCAGAAGUAGGACCAAACCAAGAGUGAGUAGCAUAGACAAGGAUAUAUUUGUGAAUGAGGCAAAGUACUUGCCAAUAUUCAAAUCCAGAAUUGGGUGAAUUCCAAAUUGAUCCAGGGGGCUCUCUGCUGCAAAACCUGCAGCACCAUCCACAUUCAUCAGGUCAACUCCUGCGGAACUCCCUGCCUCAUUUCCAUUCGCUAGGUCAACUCCUCCUGAGCUUCCCGCUGGGUUUCCUCCUCCAGGAAGAUCCACGUCAUUCGACACUCCUAUCUUGAAAGCUUCACUUUCUCUUCCAUGUGCCCUUAAAUCCUCGAGCUGCCCUUGCAAAAAUGCGAUAUUAUCGCUUUCUCCAUGCACACAUUCGGUGACAGCCACAACUUCGGGGUGCUCCCCGUCCAUCCUCAUUAAUUCACUCAUUUGCUCCCUUAUACCGGCUUGAUAUUCCACCACCAUUUCAUCGGUCGGGUUCAGACCUGGGUGGUCCUCAUAAAUCCCAGUUGAACCCCCCUGAAUCGGAACACCAUUAGCAUUACUUGUAUUAGAACCAUCAGUCAUCAUUCUAAUAGAACUUGUGAUUGUAUUAACAGAAGUCUCGGUUGAAUUGAGAGAUGCCUCAUCAAAUCUAAAGAUAAGGCACUCCCUUAGUCAUUCUGCCAAGGAAUUAGAUUCGAUGGUGGUAUGGGACACCCUUGGCUAAAUAACUAGGUAAGUCUUAUGUUGGGUUCUGGUCGUGGUCGACCGGAACGGGGGCAUCUGGCAAGCGCUUAUAGUUCCGGCUCAGGAAGAUUGGAUAUGGGCAUAGUUCCCAAAGCUUUACCAUGUAGUCUGGACUAUAAGUUGGUUACGUUAGGUGUGCUCUAUGCAGUUUGACCAUUUCCAGCAUUUGCAUAAUGAGGAUUGUAGGGAAAAGCCUCGUAGUGAGACCCUAGCCAUUCACCUCAGAAGUGAAUACGGGUCUAGCUAACCCGGGCUAGAAGGGAAUCGCAACUUAUGGGUAAAGAUGCGCCACCUCUGCAGAGUGUAAAACUGAUAUAUCAGCCGUGCUCACGGUUAUGAGCAGCAUGGACUCCUCACAUAAUAAUUGAACUUGAAGAUGGAAAUAAAUCGAGAUCCGAUGAUCUGCCAAUGGUUUGCUUAAGUGGUUUCACUUAAGUGUUUUUGAUAUACUCUUAUACCUUUGUUUAAUGGGAAUACUUGGGAUUCACACUUAUUAGUAAGACAUGUGUUGUUAAUAAAAUAUUGACCAACUAAAAUGCUUACUACUCAACCUUAGCCUCACCUUGUUAAACUUGCAUUAAUUUCCCCCCACUUGCUGAGCCCUGACCAUAAGUGAGCUCACCCUUGCUUAAAUUUUGAUCAGAAGUUCACAGAUGAAGUUAUGAUGCUGAGCUCCAUGGAUGCUAGUCUAGUGAUACCCUCGGCCAUCUUCCUGUGGAUGGAUGUCCAUGUUUUGCUGUACUUUGACGAAUAAAUGUUAAGACAUUAUGUCUGUUCGAAGUGUAAUAUUUUAAUAAAAUCAUUAUUUACGCUUUUAUGCAUUGUUUUUUUGAUAUAUUACACUUGUGAUGUCAACAUAUGUGUGGAAAUAGAUCCUGGCACACAUAUGCUAUGCACCCGGCUCUGCCCCUUUGGAAACGGGUGUGACACCAGCGCUCGGAAUAUUUUAAUCGUUUUUUGAUAACAAGCUCAUGGAAGGUAUUUUUCGGACCUUCGGCAUUCCGAAGCCUUUGUGUUUUUCACGGACUGAGCUCGUUACGAAAAACCGAUCUAGCACCGCGAAGGGGCUACUGUUGGGGGUCUUCUUCUCCGUCGAAGGUCCUCAAGACAAAACACCUUCGGCAAAAUGAUACAGAAGUAUUCCCUUCUUCUGCCGAAGAUCCUCAAGACGAAGACCUUGUGUAGAAGCAACAUUGCCAAAUGCCAAAAGCUACCAUCAGCUUCGGUUCAAGUCAAGCAGAAGAAGAAUAGACCAUAUAGACCUUAGUAAUCUAGGUUGUCCGUAGAUAAAUGUUGAGGGACAUGAAUGUAAUUUCACCCGGGCUACGUCUUGUGCCUAUAAAUAGACGAACAGUAACACCGUACUGUUCACGCUGAAUUGUAAUCACUCUCUUGCGUCUUCACCUUCAAGCAAGCCAAAGGUAUUAAUGUAAUAUGACUUCUGUUAAUAUUCAUACAUGUUUUAUGGAAUGCAAAUAUGGAUAAAUUAACGAGAUGUAGUUAUUAUCUUUGUCCCUUUACAUUCAAGUUCACAUAUUAAAUAAUGAAGGUAUGUCCUUCAUGACCUUCGUCUAAUGAGUAUUAUAUCCAUGGGGAGGUAAUGAUUCAGAAGAUGAAGGUCCCUAAUAAUCGACAAUUAUAUUGUCUUGUUCUUGAUUCACAGCAUUUGAGAACGAGUGACCAACACUCCCGCAACGAGACUAGGAUAAAUCGGAGGCAGACAACGUUUUCUAGUCAACACUGUUUUGUCCCUCUAUUGUUUACACCGAGGCACCAAAAUGUCUUCAGUAGCCUUCAUAUCUUACCUUUAUCUAUACACUCUCUGAGCAUGGGCUAGCAAGCAUUUUACCUCAUAUAGGAGACCACCUACUCUAUUUUUUUCUAUUAAAACCACAAGUUUGCUCUGCUCAUCUACAACAAGAAGUGAAAGCGGAAAAGACGUCUACUAUUGCCAUAUGACCUGCCAGUAGCAAGCUUUUCUUCUGUUCCCCUAUCUCUUCAACUCAUCACUUGUCAUUUGUCAUUUGUCAAGUGAUGUGGACAGAGAGCGCGGCCGGCAAAGCAAACCUAUGCGGCCCACAUGUUGUAGCGCCGCUCAUCUACCUCUACCCUCCUCGCACCGUGGCCGUCGCGCACUGCACCGAGACGCCGACGACAUGAGUCCGGUCUCCCACGGAGCUUGAAGCCCACCCCACCCUCUCCAUCCCCACGACGCCAAUGCACCGUCUCCAUCCUCGCAACGCCAACCCACCGUCUCCAUCCGCGCAACGUCGACCCAGCCCAGGCUCCUCCUCCCUACGUAGCCGUCGCUGGCGCUGCUCCCCCCAAUAGGUGCAGUGACUUUGGCUUCCCCCACGGCACUCGGUCGUUGCCUCUCGCGGCAACAGAGCCUUCUUCCCACGGCGACCAAGCACCUGCGCUGGAUUCUGCGGCGACAUUGGAAGCUUCUUGUAAAGCCCUAAAGUUUUUGUAAUAAAAUAAAUAAAUACAUGUAUCUGUUCUGCCACCAUUCCCAUUCCUUGUUCUUCAUUUCUCAUUCCCUCCUCCCCGUACUGCCCAUUCCCAUAUUCUGCCAUCAUUUUAUGUUCUGUCAUUCCCAUUCUUUGUUCUGCCUUUCUCAUUCCUCCCUCCCCACAAAGCCCAUUCCCAUUCCCCCGUACAGCCCAUGUCUAGCUAAAAUUUAAAAAAAUCACACAUGCCCCAAGGGGAUUUGAACCUGUGACUUCUCAAGCAAAGGCCAGAAGUAGCUACCGCUACACCACAUGUGUGUUUAUGUCUGCAUCUAUGACAGGAAACACAUCUACUACAUCUCUCACCAAGCCCACUUGCUACUCUUGCACAAUGCGUAGUAGUAGAUAAGUAUCACCGAGAUUCUUGAAUUAUAUUUUUGGAUGGAGGUAAUAUUAUUUAAAGAAGAGCUUUGCAUGCAAUUUAUUUUGUUUGAAUAAUGUUUUAUACUUAAAUUCCUUUUUUUUGCAUUUGUGACAUUUAUUCUUCGUAAUUUUUUCCAUGGAUCAGACUUAUGAGUCAUUUUCAUAAACCAACGCCAACCAUAAAUCCAUGUUUCUUACUUGAAACCCUGAACAAACACCAUUAGCAGGAGGCAUGUCACACCCGGAUUUCGGGGCACCAAGACCCGGGCGCGAACAUAAUCACCAGGUGUGCUGGGACCAAGUCUCACACAUAUGAUGAAUCAUGGCACAGGAUCGAAUGUCACAUCUUUACUAUAUAACAGGAGUUCUAUACAAAAUAAAUACAUAAAUAAUUACAUCAAAAGGAGACAAUGAUCCAACAACCCAAAGUUGACUGGGAGAUGAAGACCUAGACCUCUCACGAACACAUCGCAACAUCCUCCAUGCGCCUCAUCCUGCGGUACCUGUUCUUGGCCUGUGGGGGGUGUGAGACAGCAAGAGUGAGCUCACAUACGUUCAUCGCUCAACAAGUUGUGGGGAAUAAUGUGCAUGAACUCGCCAAAGGUGGAAGCUCAUGUGAAGUGUAAGGCUUACCAAAGAGGAUGGUUAGAGCUGAGCAUUGCUUUUAAAGUUGGUCAAAUUUUUAUUAGCAGUUACUAAGUAUAAGUAAAUACCAACCCAAUUAAGUAGUAGAACAAAAGUAACAACAUCACAUGCGAUGCAAUGCAUAUGACAAAUUGAAUUUAGUUCCAUAAAUUAAUCAUGUGAGUGUCCGAGCUGCUCAUGACUGUGAGCACGACUAGUAUACCAGUUUUACACUCUGCAGAGGUUGCACAUCUUUACCCACAAGUCAUGUUACCCAUCUGCCAAGAGACGGCCAAUCCCAUACACCUCUACCGAGGAGGCGAGGCAGGGUAACACUACGAGGCCUUUACAAAGUUCCACUAGCUUCGGAAAACCCGCUACAGUUAUAGGAAGCUCCAGUGCAGGAAACCCUCGCCUGACCGCCAUCGCAGCAAAAUCAACCAAGGACCUCCCUACACUGACCACUCCCCUACUGCCCUUGCCCCUUUCGGGUAAGGUAGUCCUCCACUAGCUUUCCUAGUUAAUCAGCCAAGGGCGUCCAUUAAACCCUUGUGGUAGCUGUUUUCCCGGGUGGUUCUCCAUGUUCCCAUUAACAUAAUGAUCUUAUCAUGAACAGUAAAUAAUGAACAGAUAAUAAAGAUAUAAUCAUGAACAAUGUGUAUCUCCAUACCCAAAACCACAUAAAGCAAUAGCAUGUACUACCCAAAAAUUCAGUGGUAAACAAGGUAUAAAGAUAGUCAAAUCUAGGGUAACCUAUUGGGUCCCAUCAAAAUUAAUCUAUGCAGAUCAUUAUGAUUAAUAAGAACAUGACUGGGUAAAGAGGAAGUGAUCAAGAGCACAACUUGCCUGGCACUUGAGAUUCCAGGUACCAACUUGCUCUUCAGGUGACUCGUAACCUUGCCGCUACUCGUAGCAAUACAAACAAACAUGACAUAGGCAAAAUUAACAUCACACUAAACAUAAGUACAAACUGAAUAAUAAUAUUCUACGCGUCUCUACGAGAUCGUAGAAACAAAAACCAUUAAAUUCGGAGCUACGGUUAUUAAGUUAUGAAUUUCCGAAAUUAUUUAGUGCUUAGAUUAGAUUAAUCCUAAUGAACAAUUUUAAUUCAAGUUUCAUGGUUAAACAAAGGUACUAGGUGAUAAAAAAUAUUAAUACAAAAUUAUUGCAACUGGAAUGACUCAAUUUGGAGUUAAAAUGAAUUUACUAUGAAUUUCACAAGUUCUAGAAUUAUUUCCACCUUAAAAAUCAUUUUCUACUUACUUUUACUGGAUUUUCUAAUUCUCCGGACUGGGCGCACAAAACCAGAGAAGCACAAGGUUUAAUCUAUAAGAUUUCCUAGACUCAGAAUUCACUGUGCAGGAUGGUGGGCUAUUUCUCCUAUUUUAAGGGGGUCUUUAGCAAAACUUAUGGCCGAAAGGGUAUGGGCGGAUGAGAGCUGUUGGAUCACGAUUGAGCGAUGUGGAUUAGAUUGAGACUUCAUUAACGUGGUGUGAUCUAGCAGCCCUUGGAUCAGGGAUCCACGGUCAGAGACUAACGUGUCCCCAAAACCGUCCGAUAUGAAUUGAAUGGCCCGAUCCUCGUCUUCCAGCUCCUGACCUAAUCCUAGCCGUUCCUUAGACUAUCGACGGUCCUGGCACCUUCUCUUCCCCUGGCCACGCAUCGCGAUGGCACUCAACAGCCCGCACGGCCGCACCCGCUGGCGGUUAGCGUGCCCGGUGCCCUAUUUUCCUACCGAAAGCGAGCAACGCGAAGAGAAGACGGAGGCAGACCUAGCUGUAGGUUCCUUACCGCGGAUUCGGGCACGGAGACGAACGCCCACGAUGGAACGCAACUCGCGAUGGACGCCACAGCUCCGGUGAGCCAUUGCCCGAGUUCCGACCGACCGUUCAUCAAAUUGUCGGUCGGGAUAGCUUCCCCGUGCCCAGUCGAAGCUCCGCCUCUAUUCCCUGGAUUCGGGCCGUCGACAGAGGCGAGGAACGGCGACAGCGGUGGCCGACCGCACUCCCCCUACUCAAUUCGCACACGGUGAAGCCCUCGAUGACCCUCUGGUGGUGGGCAGGGGCGGUGGUUUAUAUUCCCCGCGAGGACCCCCCAUCGGCCGAAGAAAAUGGAGUCCGUUGUGGAGUUUGUUGCGGAGUUAGUUGGCCGUGAGCUCGGAUGUCAACGGAGUUCUCCGCCGCGCGAGGUCCGUGGAUUCUGUUGCUAGCCGCGAGUCCGAGUCACACCUAGGAGGUUGGAGACGCCCGUGGCUCGGAGUUCACCCAGCUUUCCAGGGAACCAUGGAGACCAGAACGACAGGAUUUGGUGGCGCGCGACGGCGAACGAGGAGGUGUUGUUACGGUGAAGGAGAGCCUGACGGUGAAAGUCCACGAGUCAGUGAGGAAUUUGGCUCAGGCGCGCGCGGUGCUCGCUGACAAGGCGGUCCCGCAGUUGGCCACACACGUGAAGUGGGUGCGAGGGAGCAGUCCGCGCCCAGGAGAAGGGUUCAGGCUCGCGUCUGGUUGUGGGCCGCACGAGAGCAAGGGAGAUGGGCCGCAUGGGGCAAUUUCGGCCCAGGUGAGGUAGAAUUGUUUUGUUUUUUUGUUCAUUUCCAUUUCCCAUUUCUAGUUUUCGAACUUGAGUUCAAUUAUGUGUUUUAAAUGCUCAUCCAAAAUUCUAGCAUGAUGCAAUUAUUUUGAAUACAAAUUCGAAUCUAGGUUCAGGAUUCACAUUCAUAUGCAUAAUUAUAACAACACUUCGCAUGCAAAAUAUAAUUUUAUGUUAUUUAUUUCUCAUCUCAUUUAUUUAUGCUUAUGCUUUUAAAUGUGCACACAAAAUAUGUAUUUUAAGAAAUUUAGUUCUAGUUUUAAAAAGAUCCUUAAGAGUAAUGUCUAGAAGAUAUGAUUUAUCAAAGGAACAAAUUAUUACUGAGCUCCUUUCUUUCUUUUUUUCUGGAAACAUUGUUUUAGGAUGUAUAGUUUCAAAGGUAAGAUAAUUCUUAUGAAAAAUAUAUUUUAACUCAACAUCAGGGAAAAGUUUUACAUAAUUCUCAAAAUGAGAUUUUGAGGUGUUACAAAUCCUACCCCCCUUAACAAAAAUCUCGUCCUCGAGAUUUGUAAGGAAAGGAAUACAAAAGGAUUGGACUGUAAUUCAACUUUUAGUCUAUAAUUGUUUCAAAUAUCCAGAUUAUUUUAUAGUCAAUUGUGGGUGAUUAGGAGAGCAUAGGUAUCCAACUACUUAUUAGGUAUGAUAUAAGAGAUGGAUAGGUUAGGGUAAUAAUAGCCUGGGGUAAAAGUUUAUAGUGAGAAAGAACUUUUGUUGGGUAGUAAUUCCCCUGAUGAUCAAGUUUGACUUCUCUAUCCUUCCUUCACAAGGUUGAUCUUUUCCUUUUCCAGUCUUGCUCUUUGGUGUCUCCAUCUGUGUUUGGGACAAGAGGCUAAGAUAGAUCUGUUAUAUAGGUCAAGUUGUUGGGUAUGGCCGAGUUGAUCUAGGUCACCAGUUUAAGCUUAAGUGGAUUUAGAGUAUGGCUUUAUCCUUUGUACCAGCAUUAAGUAACUUACUCUAGAUUAGAUAAUAAUAGAUUAGAUAGAAUCUAGAUUAGGUUGGUACGACUAGAUUAAACUAGUUAAGAUCUCAUUAAUUUGGAUUAGGUACUGGUGGUUACUUUAGGAUCAGAUAAAUAUAGUGGUUAGGAUAAAAUGAAUCUUUCAUGAUAAGAUGAAUCUAUUAGGAUAAGAGAGUCUUUUAAGAUAAGAUGAAUUGGUUAGAAUGGGAUCUUUUAGGAUAAGAUAAAUCUCUUAAGCUAGAUAUAUUCCAAUGGGGACAAUCUAGGUUGUCUAGUUAUUUUAUAAAUAUAUUUUUAUACCUAUGUGUAUAUGUAGAUGCAAUUGUGGACAUUACUCCACAACUCAUCACACUCAAUCAAAGAUCCAAAUCAAACAUGUAUCAUAAGAACAAGCAUUCAAGCAUAUCAAUAUUUACUUAAAUAGUUUUGAUUUUUUUCCUACGAGUAGGUCUCCUAUUCCUAAAGCUCACUUUAUGUACAAGAUUUCAAAGUGUGAAAUCCACAUUUGUCUUUAGAAAGAAAAGGUAAGAAUAAUCAGAGUAAAGCGGAAAUAGAUGAGAAAAGAUUAAGAAAAGUUUAGAAAGAAUCAGAGUAGCAAAGGUAAGUAAGUAUUGGUUGUCCAGUUCUAUCUAGGUUUCGUCCUACAGUCAAUAUUCCUCUGAUACCACUUCUGUCACACCCAGAUUUCGGGGCACCAAGACCCGGGCGCGAACAUAAUCACCAGGUGUGCUGGGACCAAGUCUCACACAUAUGAUGAAUCAUGGCACAGGAUCGAAUGUCACAUCUUUACUAUAUAACAGAAGUUCUAUACAAAAUAAAUACAUAAAUAAUUACAUCAAAAGGAGACAAUGAUCCAGCAACCCAAAGUUGUCUGGGAGACGACGACCUAGACCUCUCACGAACAUAUCACAGCAUCCUCCAUGCGCCUCAUCCUGCGGUACCUGUUCUUGACCUGUGGGGGGUGUGAGACAGCAAGAGUGAGCUCACAUACGUUCAUCGCUCAACAAGUUGUGGGGAAUAAUGUGCAUGAACUUGGCAAAGGUGGGAGCUCAUGUGAAGUGUAAGGCUUACCAAAGAGGAUGGUUAGAGCUGAGCAUUGCUUUUAAAGUUGGUCAAAAUUUUAUUAGCAGUUACUAAGUAUAAGUAAAUACCAACCCAAUUAAGUAGUAGAACAAAAGUAACAACAUCACCUGCGUAAGUAGUAGAACAAAAGUAACAACAUCACCUGCGAUGCAAUGCAUAUGACAAAUUGAAUUUAGUUCCAUAAAUUAAUCAUGUGAGUGUCCGAGCUGCUCAUGACCGUGAGCACGGCUAGUAUACCAGUUUUACACUCUGCAGAGGUUGCACAUCUUUACCCACAAGUCAUGUUACCCAUCUGCCAAGAGACGGCCAAACCCAUACACCUCUACCGAGGAGGCAAGGCAGGGUAACACUACGAGGCCUUUACAAAGUUCCACUAGCUUCGGAAAACCCGCUACAGUUUAUAGGAAGCUCCAGUGCAGGAAUCCCUCGCCUGACCGCCAUCGCAGCAAAAUCAACCAAGGACCUCCCUACACUGACCACUCCCCUACUGCCCUUGCCCCUUUCGGGUAAGGUAGUCCUCCACUAGCUUUCCUAGUUAAUCAGCCAAGGGCGUCCAUUAAACCCUUGUGGUAGCACUGUUUUCCCGGGUGGUUCUCCAUGUUCCCAUUAACAUAAUGAUCUUAUCAUGAACAGUAAAUAAUGAACAGAUAAUAAAGAUAUAAUCAUGAACAAUGUGUAUCUCCAUACCCAAAACCACAUAAAGCAAUAGCAUGUACUACCCAAAAAUUCAGUGGUAAACAAGGUAUAAAGAUAGUCAAAUCUAGGGUAACCUAUUGGGUCCCAUCAAAAUUAAUCUAUGCAGAUCAUUAUGAUUAAUAAGAACAUGACUGGGUAAAUAGGAAGUGAUCAAGAGCACAACUUGCCUGGCACUUGAGAUUCCAGGUACCAACUUGCUCUUCAGGUGACUCGUAACCUCGUCGCUACUCGUAGCAAUACAAACAAACAUGGCAUAGGCAAAAUUAACAUCACACUAAACAUAAGUACAAACUGAAUAAUAAUAUUCUACGCGUCUCUACGAGAUCGUAGAAACUAAAACCAUUAAAUUCGGAGCUACGGUUAUUAAGUUAUGAAUUUCCGAAAUUAUUUAGUGCUUAGAUUAGUUUAAUCCUAAUGAACAAUUUUAAUUCAAGUUUCAUGGUUAAACAAAGGUACUAGGUGAUAAAAAAAUAUUAAUACAAAUUUAUUGCAACUGGAAUGACUCAAUUUGGAGUUAAAAUGAAUUUACUAUGAAUUUCACAAGUUCUAGAAUUAUUUUCACAUUAAAAAUCAUUUUCUAAUUACUUUUACUGGAUUUUCUAAUUCUCCGGAGUGGGCGCACAAAACCAGAGAAGCACAAGGUUUAAUCUAUAAGAUUUUUUAGACUCAGAAUUCACUGCACAGGAUGGCAGGCUAUUUCUCCUAUUUUUAAGGGGGUCUUUAGCAAAACUUAUGGCCGAAGGGGUAUGGGCGGAUGAGAGUUGUUGGAUCACGAUUGAGCGGUGUGGAUUAGAUUGAGACUUCAUUAACGUGGUGUGAUCUAGCAGCCCUUGGAUCAGGGAUCCACGGUCAGAGACUAACGUGUCCCCAAAACCGUCUGAUAUGAAUUGAAUGGCCCGAUCCCCAUCUUCCAGCUCCUGACCUAAUCCUAGCCGUUCCUUAGACUAUCGACGGUCCUAGCACCUUCUCUUCCCCUGGCCACGCAUCGCGGUGGCACUCAACAGCCCGCACGGUCGCGCCCGCCGGCGGUCAUCGUGCCCGGCGCCCUAUUUUCCUACCGAAAGCGAGCAACGCGAAGAGAAGACGGAGGCAGACCUAGCUGUAGGUUCCUUACCGCGGAUUCGGGCGCGGAGACGAACGCCCACGAUGGAACGCAACUCGCGACAGACGCCACAGCUCCGGUGAGCCAUUGCCCGAGUUCUGACCGGCCGUUCAUCAAAUUGUCGGUCGGGAUAGCUUCCCCGUGCCCAGUCAAAGCUCCGCCUCUAUUCCCUGGAUUCCGGCCGUCGACAGAGGCGAGGAACGGCGACAGCGGUGGCCUACCGCACUCCCCCCUACUCAAUUCACACACGGUGAAGCCCUCGAUGACCCUCUGGUAUACAUGUCCAAAUGGGCGUGCCGGGCCAGCCCGGCACGGGCACGGCUGGACCCGGCACGACUUUGGCGUGCUCAUGCACGGCACGCCAGUGUCAUGGGCCGGACCGGGCUGGCACGUGGGCCCAAAUCCCUGCCCAGGCAUGGCACGCCAACUGUUAAUCGGGCCGGGCCGGGCCGGGGGCACGGGCAGCCCGUUGGUGCUGUGCCGGGCUCGGGCCCAGUUACAUAAUCCACAUGACAAAAUUCAGAGUUAACAGAAUACAAGAUUACAAGUCAAAGAGGCUACAAAAUAGUCUUUAAAUGGUUUGGAGCUUUAGUGCAAUGCUGCCUCAUUAAAAACCUUCCUAGGUAAAAACUCACACUUCGUGAGAAAACCCUAGGAAGGAAAAGAGUACAGCCAGCUCCUUAAAGUAUUUAUAAGUUCAUAGUUCAGUGUUCAGUCCACAGUCAGUCCAUAUGAGCAUAUUACAGAUUUACAGCAGAUAAGAGAAGUAGAGAACUUAAAUAGGUAGAAACAGAGAGAAUAAGUUCAUAGUCCAGCUCCAGCCCUUCUUGAACUCUGUGGUGCUGCUUCCUUUCUUUUGUUCCCUGGUGAUACUCGCUGCUCAUCAUCUAGGUACAUAUCCUCAAAGGUUGCUUCAAGGUCUUUGGUUUCCUUCUCCACAGUAUGCUGCUUGUGCUGGUCAGCCAACUCCCAAUCUUUGAUACAGGAGAGCACCUCCACCAUGUCUGUCGUCAACCGUCGUCGUCGCUCCUCGAGCACCCUGCUAGCUAGACUGAAAGUAGAUUCUGAAGAUAUUGUAGAAACAGGGACAGUCAACACAUCUUUAGCUAGUAUAGAAAGAAUAGGAUAAGUUUGAUUGUGGCGUUGCCACCACAUAAGAAUGUUGAAAUCAGGCCCAAAUUUAGUUUCAGUGUCACUGUCAAGGUAAGAAGUUAACUCAGAUAAACUAGUAGAUGUACCAGCUGUACCACCUGUACCAGUAUUGCUAUAACUUUCAUCAUCACCAUAUGUUGGGGACUUGUUCUCAAAUGCUAAGAGUUAAGAACAGGGCAACAUAAAAAGUGUUAAGUGUUAAAGUCCUUCGUCCUUCGAAGCAUUAUGUCCCUUCGGGAAAUAAUGAGUUUCGGACGAAGGUCAUAAGAGGCAUACCUUCGUAAACAUAACAAGUAAUGACGAAGGACUCAUAUAAAGCAUGAAAUAUAAUAUAAGCAUCAUCAUAGAAUCAUUUCUAUUUUAUUAACAUGGAAACAUAGAAAUGAUUUCAAAUUACAAAAUGUACCUUCGGUCCUGAGAGAAGGUAAAAAGUACAAGCGUGACGCAAAAGCAAAUGCCAAGUCAGCGUGAACAGUACGGGGGUACUGUUCAUCUAUUUAUAGACACAGGACGCAGCCUGUAACGAAUUACAAUUAUGCCCUUUACAAAAGUUUACAACAUUAUGCUAGACCUCUAUGGAUAAAAAGGUCAUUCUAUCUUUAUGUCGGUUUGCAACGCCGAAGCUCUAUGAAAAGGAACCUUCGGCCAUUUCCUGGGGACGAUUUCAGCCGAAGCUGCUUCUUCACGCAAGACCUUCGGCGCAACGAAGCAUGGGCCCAACAGUAGCCCCUUUCGCGGCGCUAGAUCGUUUUUCGUAACGAGCUUGAACCGUGAAAAAUCCUCUCAAGCUUCGGGAAGCCGAAGGUCCAAAAAACACCUUCCCUGAGCUCGUUGCCGAGAAACGAUUCAUUUCCCGAGAUCGUGUCGGUCCCACCUUGCAGAGUCACUGUUUGGUCUUUGCGGUCCACUGCGCAGCGAGUACAAGUUACUGCCCGCCUGGUGUAAAAACCCUGCCGCUUCGCCUUCUUACCUGCAGCACUAUAUAAACAGACGAGUAGGUGUGAAGUUACCACAGCAUUUACUGCUAUUUGCACUGUUUUGCUGCCAAAAUUUUUAACCAUCACCGAAGCUUGUUUGUCAGAUUUGAACGAAGCUCCAUCUUGAAGCCUGCUUCGGAGAAAAAAGUAUCAAAGUUUCACAAGUUCAUAAUUAAAUGGCCAGAGUUCGCUCUACAGCUAGGGUUGAGCGUGAGGGGGACGAAACUGAAGCUUCGGAGACUGUGCCCAUCUCCGAAGCGAUGCAGCGCUCCGGACUGGUGACUGCGGAAGAAAUGCCUGCUGCCGAAGCAAACCCGACAGCUGCCGAAGGAGAAGGGAACAUUGAAGAAACCGACUCCGAAGAUGACUACCGUAUUGCCAUGCCCAGCAAACCCAGCCACCUAGACUUCGGAAAAUCGACUGUUUCAAAGGUUGAUCUCGCCAAGAUGGUGAAAGCAGGUUUUUUCAGUGAAGAUCAGAAGAAGCUACUUCGCUUCGGGGGAGAAGAGACCACCCCGAAGCCAGAGAAGGACGAGGUUGUCAUCUUCAAAAGCUUUUUAAAGGCUGGGCUAAGAUUCCCUGUUCACGAGAUUGUUGCGGAGAUAUUGAAGAGGUUUGGCAUCUACCUUCAUCAGUUAACUCCUAACGCUAUCGUUAGGCUUAGCGUUUAUAUUUGGGCCCUCCGAAGCCAAGCAGUGGAGCCUUUUGCUGACAGUUUCUGUCGAGUUCAUGAAUUGCAUUAUCAAACAAAGGCCAGAAAAGAUGGGCUUCAUGAAAACUUCGGUUGCUACAAUUUUGCCUACCGGAAAACCGCAAAGUUUCCUGUAAUCAGCUACCGAAGCAAAUGGCCGGCAGGCUGGAAAUCAGAAUGGUUCUAUGUCAAGGUUGAUGAGGACAAGGAGAAGCUUGUGCAAAGUCCACUCGAGCUAACUUUCGGAGAAACCCGACCCCACUGCAACAUGACACCAGAGGGUCAAACUCAACGGGCAAUGGAUGAAUUCAGAAUCAUUGCAGAGCAUAUUGGUACCAGGGAUCUGGUUCAAGAAUUCUUAGCAUUCAGAGUCUUCCCUACUCUGAAAAAAUGGGAAAUGCCAAAGUUAAAGGGGGAGAAGAAGGAAGGGGAUCUUGUCCGGCUUCCUUACCACUUCAAAUUCAAGAAAUAUUUUAAGAAGCCCUGCCAAGAGUGGCUGGAUACAGUUGAGGUGAUGUGUAAUGAAAUUCUUGGAAAUUGUUCGAAAAAAGAAGAUCAACUGAUGACAGCAGCCUUCGGCACCCGUCCGAAGCGAAGGCUGAACCGAGUGCUUGAUGCACUGGGUUUCGAAUAUCCUGAUUAUGCGCAGCUGAACAAAGGUGCUGAGGGCCAGAGAAGAAAAAGAGCGGCCGAAGCUUUAAACAAGGAUGAAGAACAACCACCAAAAAAGAAGAAAAUUGUCAAGAGAAAAAUAUCAACUCCAAAGCGAAAACUAUCCGAAGAAGAGGGGACCCCCACACCACCUUCUACUAGCGACGUGGAGGAAAUUCUAAAGGUAAUGACUGAACCCAUGCCCACGAAGCUAAGUCCAUUAGGGCCUCGACUGACGAAGCUUUUUCAAAAGGUGGCGGAGCCGGAAAAAACGAAGAUAGCCAAAGCGAAAAGGCAAAGAAUUAUUGCCGUAACAGAAGUUAUUGACAAGCCGCCACCGAGGGCGUCAAUUCAGAAAACACCAGCCGUUGAGGGCACAGAAAAUGUCGAAGUCGCACCUUCGGAGGUCGCGGCUACCGAAGCCGCUACAGCCGAAGAUGUAAACUUAGAAUCUGCUAUUGAAAACAUCAACAAAAUUUUAACAGACAUGGCUGCAGAAGAAGCUGCCACCACUACUGAAGAAACCAUGGUCACAGUGCCUGGGAAAGGGAAAGAAAUAGCCGAAGACACUUCGGACGACGAAGCCUACUCAUUUCAAAAUUUAGUCGGGCAAAAACUGUCGAAAGCCGAAAAAGAAGAGCUUAAGGAAUACGCCAAAUCUUGCGGAUACAAGCCAGGAGCUCUUCUAUUUGGAGGCAUUGAUGAUGAAAAACUGGGCUGCAUCCGGGACUCAGCUGGGGCUAAGGUCAUCGGUACUCUAUCAAAGAGUAUCGGUUUUCCGAAACUAGAGACAGACAUCAGCCGCUACCGACGACAACAUAUCGUCGGCAGCUUAUUUUAUUCAAAUUUCAAGGUAAACAUCCUUCUCUCUAACUUCUAUUGUUUUUUAAUAAUGGCAAUAUUCUUUAACGAAGGUUGUUUAUUUGCAGAGCAUGCUUCUAAGCAAAGCUCUGAGGAUGCAGCAAGAUCUAGAAGAUAAGAAGCACGAGGCUAUAAUUGAAAAUUUAGAGAGCAAGAUAAAAGAACAAUCAGCUAUUAUUGAAAAGAAAGACUUCGAACUUCAAUCAACCGAAGGCUUGCUGGCAGAGACUGAAGCCAAAGUAGCAGAAUUGAAUUCGAAGCUUCUCUGCCAAUCAAAACAAUUUGAACAAGAGAAGCUAGAACUUGGUUCGAAACUUGAAGCCGAAGUCCAAGCCAACUCAAAUUUGAAGAAAUCAUUAACAAGCCUUCAGGAUAAAUGUUUGAAUUUUAGCAACAAUUGUAUCCAACAACUAAAGAAGAUCUUUUACUCAGUUGGAGCCAGCAGCGGGAAAUUUACCCCUUCGGAUGAAGAUUUACCAAAAGCCUUCGAUCAUAUCGAAGCUGAAAUUGAAGAACUUGACGAAGUUAUAGCUGGGCACGGUGACUUCUGUGCCUGGGUAGCUUCUCGGGGUACUGCUGCAGCAUUCCUGAAGGCUGGCUGCGAGCAUGGAAAGAUUGUCAACAGGCCCAACUUCGCCCUGUCUCCAUCAAUUCUCGACGACAUUCCUGACCUCGCCCGGAGCAUCUCAAAUAGAUUCAUAAAAAUGAUAUGGACAAAAGGCGGGCGAGAGAAGGCUGGGGACGAAGCUCGAAGUCAUCUUGAACCAGUAAGAAAUCAUACUUUGUACUUACCUUCUCCUUCACACUUGAUUUUUACUUGGGAUACCUUGAUUCAUGUAGGAUGACGAAGCUGAAGGUGAUACUUAAAGUAUAUGCCGCCGAAGCAGAAACCUGACGAAGAUUAAUAGGAGUAGACUAGAAAAAACUCAGGAGAAUUUGUAACAACUUUUUGUAAAUACAAUUAAUCUAUUCUCAAGGAACUUUGUUCAUACCUUGUAAUAUAUUCUUACCCUUUUAUUGAGACGCUUUGAUGUGGACGAAAUCAGUAUUUUGAGCCGAAGGCGAAAAAACACCUUCCCUUCUUUUCGUACACAACGAAGCAUAAAAGACCAUUUCUUCUUUUUGCCAAAGCUUUUCUUUUUUGUACAUGACGAAACAUAAAAGACCGCUUCUUCCUCUUGCCGAAGCUUUUUCUUUUUUGUACAUGACGAAACAUAAAAGACCACUUCUUCCUUUUGCCGAAGCAACCACUUAGGAACACAAAUGCUAUGAAUGAAUGCUUAUGAAUGCAAAUGCUAUGAUGUAAUGUGCGAAUGAAUGUCCAAAGCAUAUAACCGAAGCCACACUCAACCAUUAUUUCCUUGGAAUCAACCACACAUCAGCUCUGCAUUCCCUUAGGAACGACUUUGGAGCUUCCUCGUCUUUUACUUAGACGAUAUAAACUCUGCAUUCCCUUAGGAACGUCUUUGGAGUUUCUUCGCCUUUUACUUAGGCGGUAUAAGCUCUGCAUUCCCUUAGGAACGUCUUUGGAGCUUCUUCGUCUUUUACUUAGACGGUAUAAACUCUGCAUUCCCUUAGGAACGUCUUUGGAGUUUCUUCGCCUUUUACUUAGGCGGUAUAAGCUCUGCAUUCCCUUAGGAACGUCUUUGGAGCUUCUUCUCUUUUUUCUUUUUCAGUUUCUGCACUCGAUGGUGCGUUCUCAGCUGUUACAUUUACAUUUUUUGGGGGAUUUUGCUCUUAUAAGACUAAAAAAGGAAAUUACACAUGAUGGCCCCAUUAAAAACCUUUCUCCCCCUUCGGAAAGGAAAAGGGUGCCAUGAAGAAGAAAAGAAAAAACAUAAAAAAUUACAUCAUGUUAUACAUAGUAUCGCCGAAGCUCAUCCGCAUUCCAAGACCUUGGAAUUUCGUUGCCAUCCAUGUCCUUCAAUCUGUACGAUCCAGGCCUUGACGAAGAUACUACUAAGAAUGGUCCUUCCCAUUUCAACUGUAGCUUACCCACUGUAACUGGGUUAGCCACUCUCCGAAGCACCAAGUGUCCCGGCUCAAUAUUUUUUAGCCGGACUUUUCUAUCUCGCCAUUUAACUGUUUCAGCCUGAUAUUUAUUGAUAUUCUCCACGGCCUGAAGCCUGAUCCCUUCUAAAGCAUCCUUUUCCACAAGGCAAGCAUCUUCGGGACCUGAUUCUGCCGAAGCUACUACUCUUAUUGAUCCAGCUUUUGCUUCCUCCGGAGUUAUUGCUUCGUCACCGAAUAAUAAUUUGAAUGGGGUAAAGCCUGUGGACCUUGAUGUUGUUGUAUUGUGGCUCCACACCACUUUGAUUAACUGAUCUGGCCACUUUCCCCUGGGUUGAUUGAAGAUUAACUUCAUUAUUCCUGUCAUUAUAAUGCCGUUGGCCCUUUCAACGAGCCCAUUUGACUCCGGAUGCCUGACUGAUGCAAAAUGGAUCUUCGUUCCAAUUUGAUCACAGAAAUUUCUGAAAGCUUCGGAGUCAAACUGCGUUCCAUUAUCUACAGUGAUUGCCUUCGGUACCCCGAAGCGACAGACAAUAUUCUGCCAGAAAAACUUUUGGACAGUGGCCGAAGUUAUUGUGGCCAAUGGCUUCGCCUCAAUCCACUUGGAAAAAUACUCCACAGCCACUAUAACAUAUUUUAGAUUCCCUUGAGCCGGUGGUAAUGGACCCAACAAGUCAAGGCCCCACCUUUGCAAUGGCCAGAUGGGUUGUAUCAGCUGUGUCAAAGACGAAGGUUGUUUUUGAUCUCUUGCACAUUUCUGACAACCUUCGCACUUUUGCACUAACUCCGCCGCAUCCGAAGCUGCCUUCGGCCAAUAAAACCCUUGGCGGAAGACUUUCCCAAGUAAUGGCCUGGAUCCGAUGUGGGAUCCACACAGGCCUGCAUGUAUCUCUUUCAUCAACUCUAUACCUUCGGCUCUAGAUAAGCACUUGAGCAGCGGAGCGCAAACUCCAUGUUUGUAUAAUUCCCCUUCUAUCAUGACAUACGGACGAGCUCUUGCCUCUAUUCUUUUAUUGUAAGCUUCGUCAUCUGAAAGGAACUUACCCUGAAGGUAAGAGAUUAUUUCAGUUCUCCAAUCUUCGCUGUAAACAGGAGAUAUGUUGAGGACUGCUCUUUCAAGGAGCUCCACUGAAGGUGCCUUUAUUGUUUCGAAGAACACAUCCGAAGGUAACGGCAGCCCCUGUGCCGCAGACUUAGCUAGCAAAUCAGCAUGCUCAUUUUGUCCUCGAGGAAUAUUCUUGACAGAGAAUCCUUCGAAGGAUGCUUCGAUCCUUCGGACCGUAUCUAGAUAUUUUUCAAGCUUCGGAUCUUUAGCCUUGCAACUUUUGUCAACAUGACCCGAAACCACCUGGGAAUCAGUUUUAAGAAUUGCCCUUCUGAUUCCCAUUGCCUUUAAUUUCCGAAGGCCAAAAAGCAGGGCUUCGUACUCAGCAAUAUUGUUCGUGCAGCUGAAAUCAAGUCUUGCUGCAUAACAAGUUUUGACCUUGGAUGGUGAAACCAAUACAGCAGCUGCACCUGCUCCGAAGAUUCCCCAAGAGCCAUCACAAAACACUGUCCACACUUCGGCAUCUUUAUUUGCUUCUUCAUCCUGAGCCCCUGGCGUCCAGUCGGCAAUGAAAUCUGCCAAUGCUUGAGACUGGAUCGAAGAUCUAUGCACAUAAUCAAUGUAAAAUUCGUUGAGCUCUGCAGCCCAUUUCCCAAUCCGUCCAGUAGCUUCUCUAUUUCUCAUUAUAUCCUUCAACGGCUGCGAAGAAGGAACAAUGAUAUUGUAUGCCUGAAAAUAAUGCCGAAGCUUCCUGGAUGCCAUUAAAACGGCAUAUAAUACCUUCUCCAGCUCUGUAUAAUUUUUCUUUGAGACACUAAGGACUUCAGAUACAAAAUACACUGGAACUUGCUUCUUAAGCUGGCCAUAAAGCUUCUCCUGGACAAGCGCCGCACUUACUGCUGAGUGCGAAGCUGCCACAUAUAACAACAGAGGAGCCCCUGGCGUUGGCGGAGUUAAUGUUGUGAGAUCUAUCAAGUAUUGCUUCAACUCUUCGAAGGCUUUUUGUUGACUUGGGCCCCAUUGAAAGACUUCGGCUGACUUCAGCACCUCGAAAAAUGGUAAGUUUCUUUCUGCUGAUCUGGAUAUAAAUCUGUUGAGAGAUGCCAGCCUUCCUGUCAAUCUUUGGGCCCCUUUUCUUGUAGUUGGUGGCUCCAUUCGAAGUAUAGCUUCGAUUUUAUUUGGAUUAGCUUCGAUUCCCUUUGUUGAAACCAAGCAUCCAAGAAAUUUACCCUUCUUUACUCCGAAGACACAUUUCUCUGGAUUCAGCUUCAAACCAGCUUGUCUGAAGCUGGCGAAGGUCUCCUGCAGAUCAACAAUAUGAUUUUCCUGCUUCGUGCUUUUGACGAUAAUGUCAUCAACAUAGGUCAACACAUUUCUGCCUAUUUGAGACUGAAGAACCUUCGCAGUCAUUCUGCUGAAACUUCCUCCAGCGUUUUUGAGCCCCUCAGGCAUCCGAAGAUAGCAAUACGUGCCACUUGGAGUUAUGAAGCUAGUUUUCGGCUCAUCUUCCUUUUUCAUCCAGAUUUGAUGAUAUCCUGAGUAACAGUCCAAGAGACUCAUGAGCUCUGAAGAAGCUGCUGCAUCGACUAGAGAGUCUAUCCUUGGCAACGGGAAUUCGUCCUUCGGACAAGCCUUGUUGAGAUCUGUGAAAUCGAUACACAUUCUCCACUUGCCAUUGGCCUUCUUCACCAUAACAGUGUUAGCUAGCCACUCUGGAUACUUCACUUCUCUGAUAACUCCUGCACUGAGGAGUCUUUUUACUUCAUUGCGAGCCCCUUCGGCCUUGUCAUCAGACAUUUUCCGAAGCCUCUGCUUUCAGGGUCUGAAGGAUGGGUCAACAUUGAGCGAAUGUUCAAUAACAUCCCGAUUUACUCCACAGAGAUCAUUAGCCGACCAUGCAAAAACAUCUUUGUUGUUGAAUAAAAACCUUAUCAAGGUUUUCUCCUGGUCUUCAGAUAAUUGCGAGCCCAACAGCACCUUCUGCUCUGCUAUGUCCUCACACAAUAGCAUGGGCUUCGGCUGAUCUGCUGAAGCUGCCUUCUCCCUUCUGAAUUUGUACUGUUCACAAGCUUCAGUUCCAUCUAUAUUAUGGAUUGCCUUGGAGUCGGUCCAGCUUCCUUCGGCCCUUCUAGCAGCUUCCUGGCUUCCAUGGAUAGCAAUAGGCCCUUGGUCCGAAGGUAUCUUCAUGCAAAGAUAGGCAGGAUGAAGGAUUGCUUCGAAGGCAUUAAGAGUGCCACGACCAAUAAUUGCAUUGUAAGGAUAUUCCAUGUCAACAAUGUCAAACACAACUUGCUCAGUUCUAGUGUUGUUGAUGAAUCCGAAGGUUACUGACAUGGUGAUCUUGCCCAGUGCUACAAUCUGUCUUCCUCCGAAGCCACAAAGAGGAUGUGUAGCAUCAUGAAUCUUAUCUUCUGGCUCUUGCAUCUGUCUGAAGGCUUUAGCAAAUAUGAUGUCAGCUGCACUGCCUGUAUCGACCAAGACAUUGUGAACCAGAAAUCCUUUGAUAACACAAGAGAUAACCAUGGCAUCGUUGUGUGGGUAAUCUUUUAGCUGAAGGUCCUCUUGAGAGAAGGUAAUAGGAAUGUGAGACCAUCUUGAUUUGAUGAAGGGACCUUGCACCCCAACAUGCUGUACUCUUCUCUGCGCUUCCUUCUUCUGCUUCUUGUUAGCUGGCUCUGAGGACGAGCCACCUGUGAUCGGGAGCACCAGCUUCGGGUCCGAAGCAACUCCAGCUUGAUUGUUGAACGAAGCCAUCAGCUCAGAAAAGUGGAAGUGAGUUCACCGGAGGUGGGCGCCAAUGUUGGGGACUUGUUCUCAAAUGCUAAGAGUUAAGAACAGGGCAACAUAAAAAGUGUUAAGUGUUAAAGUCCUUCGUCCUUCGAAGCAUUAUGUCCCUUCGGGAAAUAAUGAGUUUCGGACGAAGGUCAUAAGAGGCAUACCUUCGUAAACAUAACAAGUAAUGACGAAGGACUCAUAUAAAGCAUGAAAUAUAAUAUAAGCAUCAUCAUAGAAUCAUUUCUAUUUUAUUAACAUGGAAACAUAGAAAUGAUUUCAAAUUACAAAAUGUACCUUCGGUCCUGAGAGAAGGUAAAAAGUACAAGCGUGACGCAAAAGCAAAUGCCAAGUCAGCGUGAACAGUACGGGGGUACUGUUCAUCUAUUUAUAGACACAGGACGCAGCCUGUAACGAAUUACAAUUAUGCCCUUUACAAAAGUUUACAACAUUAUGCUAGACCUCUAUGGAUAAAAAGGUCAUUCUAUCUUUAUGUCGGUUUGCAACGCCGAAGCUCUAUGAAAAGGAACCUUCGGCCAUUUCCUGGGGACGAUUUCAGCCGAAGCUGCUUCUUCACGCAAGACCUUCGGCGCAACGAAGCAUGGGCCCAACACCAUAUAUAUCAUCUCAUGCCUCUGUGGCCUUACUAGAACCACUAGCUGACUGUGGUUGAGGAGUCAAGCAAAUACCUCCAAAUUUGGCCUCAUAAAUUUGGUACAUCUUAGUUAAUUUGGUUCUAAUACAUGAAGGAUAUCUACUAUAAUCAGUGCCAUUAAGAGUAGAUAAUCUUUUAAGAACUUUAUGAAAGCCCCUCAUCUUUGCUCUAGGAUCAAGAAUGAAAGCAAAUGCAUAAAGAAUGGGUAUGUCCCUCCAAUAUUUCAGAAAUUUUGUUUUCAUAGGCACUACAGCAGUUCUUAAAAGCUCAUGGUUCUCAUAUGCAUUUAGAUGUCUAGCAAUUUUCAAAAUAUGAUGCAACAUUAAGGGUGAUGUAGGGUAAUAUAUUCCAGAUAGUGCAACAGUUGAGUCAUAGAAUAACUGAAAGAAAGACAAUAAUUUUUCUGCAACAACCAAUGAUUAUCACUCAACAAACAAGACCCAUCAUCUUUGGCAGGAGAAUUAGUUCUAAUCCACACAGAGAAAGUACUUUGAUAAGGAACUAAAUGUUUAAGCAUCAGGAAUGUUGAAUUCCAUCUAACUUCCAUAUCUACUCCAAAUUUACGUGGUCUAACACCAACACUCAUGCAAUAUUGUUUAUAAGAAGCAAUUCUUUGAUUUGAAGAGUUUAAAAAAGUUAUAGCAGUCCUAAAGUGUUCAAGAUAUGGUUGUAAACGUUUCAAACAACUUUUAACAAUCAGAUUAAUAAUAUGGCAAGCACAACGCUAAUGCAAAAAUAUUUUACUCAAAUCACUCUCAUUCCUAGUAGGUGAAGGUACCAAAUGCCCAAUAUAACCAGCAAAGACAGGUUUCAGAACAUCAAUAGCAGUUUUGUUAGAUGAGGCAUUAUCAAGCAUAAUGGCAAAAAUCUGAUCAGUAAUGCUAAAGUCAUUUGCAACCAUUUCAACACGUUCAGCAAUGUUAAGACCUGUAUGAGCUACCUCUAUAGGUCUAAGACCAAGUAAUCUCUUUUCUAAACACCAAUCAGAGUUCACAAAAUGAGCAACAACACUUAUAUAGUCCUCUUUAGCUUUACCAGACCAUAUAUCAGAUGUCAAAGCAACAGAUGAAACAUGUUUAAGUACUUCAAUCAGUUGUUCAACACGCUCAUUAAACAGUCGGAUCAAGUCUCUAGCAGUAGUUUGCCUAGAAGAUUUAAUAAACCUUGGAUUGUGGGCAUGGGUUAUAUACUCCUGAAAAGCACUAGAUUCACCAAAACAAAGUGGCAGGUCUAGCCUAGCUAUUAAACGACAGAGCUCAGUUCUAGCAACAGAAGGGGAAUACUCCCAGUGAUUAACAGAUCCAUCAGCAUUAUAUUUAAGCAAAGACUGUGUUUUUCCAGUUCUGUCUUUUUCUUUCUUAGCAGGGCAAACAUCCAGGUGUCGGAUCAAAUGGCCAGUUCCAGAUGAAGAUUUAGCAGACAUGCUAUUCUUGCAGUGAAGACAAAUGGCAGAUACUCUUACCUCCUUACCAUUUUGAACGGCAGUUACCUCCUCAAAGUGCAGCCAUACCUUAGAGGUCGGACCUCUCCUUCUAGAACGUUUACCAGCCACAGGGACAGAGGUGCUCGCGUCGGCCGUCGGGCUUGUGGAGCCCGUCCCCGUUUGUGCACCGGCGCCGUCCAGAUCGAUGGCACCAGCGUAGGUGGUACCAAGGAGGAGGUACCGGGCAUCGUCGGCCUCGUUCUGCGCUUCAAGCCUCCGCUCCUCGAUCACUGCUUCGAGACUGAGCUCGUCAUCAGCCGAGGCCGUGGACAUGGCCACCGCCUCGGUCGGCUUCUCCGGCUCCUCAUGGCGCGCGGCGCACACACACGGUGCACACCUAGACGAAUCGAAGCAACAAGAUUAAGCACAAGAAGAUGAAUCGGAUUAAGAGAGAGACGAGACCAAGAGCAAGAAAACUUUACCUGCAACACCGGAGCACCGGAUCCACGAACCGGAUGGCUGACGGCAGAGGCAGAGGAGCGAGCUUGGCGAAGAUCGAGUUCUAGGGUUAGGGUUAGUGAGGGUCGAGGGAGAGAGGAGCGAGGAUGGAGCAAGAGAGGAGAGGAGCAGCGAGCAGGAGGCGAGGACACCAGAGUUCACCGCUCCGUCGACACCGUAGGGCGGAGGCGAGGACACCGGAGCGGCGGAGCCGAAUCGCCUGUCGCCGGUCACGAGCCCACAGGAGAGGAGACGGAGAGGCCGAGACAGAAAAUGGGAUGCUAGGGUUACGCACGCGUACUCCUUACGCGACGCCGCGACGCCUUAUACGGCUUAACGGGCCGGCGCCGUGCCGCGGCUUACGUGGGCCGGGCUCGUGCCUACACCACGGGCCCACAUGGCAGCCCAAUCACGGCACGGGCACCGUGCCGGGCUGGCACGGGCACGCCGGCCGUCGUGCCGGGCCGGGCUUUCCCCGUGCUUGGGCGUGCCGGGUGCCGGGCUGCACCACGGGCCAGCCCGUUUUGGACAUGUAUACCCUCUAGUGAUGGGCAGGGGCGGCGGUUUAUAUUCCCCGCGAGGACCCCCCAUCGGCCGAAGAAAACAGAGUCUGUUGUGGAGUUUGUUGCGGAGUUAGUUGGUCAUGAGCUCGAAUGUCAACGGAGUUCUCCGUCGCGCGAGGUCCGCGGAUUCUGUUGCUAGCCGCGAGUCCGAGUCGCACCCAGGAGGUCGGAGACGCCCGCGGCCCGGAGUUCACCCAGCUUUCCAGGGAACCAUUGAGACCAGAACGACGAGAUUUGGUGGCGCGCGACGGCGAACGCGGAGGUGUUGUUACGUUGAAGGAGAACCUGACGGUGCAGGUCCACGAGUCAGUGAGGAAUUUGGCUUAGGCGCGCGCAGUGCUCGCUGACAAGGCGGUCCCGCAGUCGGCCACACACGUGAAGUGGGCGCGAGGGAGUAGUCCGCGCCCAGGAGAAGGGUUCAGGAUCGCGUUUGGUGGUGGGCCGCGCGAGAGCAAGGGAGAUGGGCCGCAUGGGGCAAUUUCGGCCCAGAUGAGGUAGAAUUGAUUUGUUUUUUGUUCAUUUCCAUUUCCCAUUUCUAGUUUUCAAACUUGAAUUCAAUUAUGUGUUUUAAAUGCUCAUCCAAAAUUCUAGCAUGAUGCAAUUAUUUUGAAUUCAAAUUCGAAUCUAGGUUCAGGAUUCACAUUCAUAUGCAUAAUUAUAACAACACUUCCACAUGCAAAAUAUAAUUUUAUGUUAUUUAUUUCUCAUCUCAUUUAUUUAUGCUUAUGCUUUUAAAUGUGCACACAAAAUAUGUAUUUUAAGAAAUUUAGUUCUAGUUUUAAAAAGAUCCUUAAGAGUAAAGUCUAGAAGAUAUGAUUUAUCAAAGGAACAAAUUAUUACUGAGCUCCUUUCUUUCUUUUUUUUUCUGGAAACAUUGUUUUAGGAUGUAUAGUUUCAAAGGUAAGAUAAUUCUUAUGAAAAAUAUAUUUUAACUCAACUUCAGGGGAAAUUUUUACAUAAUUCUCAAAAUGAGAUUUUGAGGUGUUACAAGGCACUAGCGUUGGUGUCACAUUGAUGAUGAGAAGAAGCUUGGCGACUGCUAGUUCGACCUCUAGAAGUAGUCCUACGUGGCCGCAUGCGCCGCUGUGUAUGACAAGCUCCAGCGAAGCCGCCACUUAGACACGGUCUAGAGCAGCUGCACCGCGCUGUCCAUCGUUAAGCAGGGAGACCUCAUGGUUGUCGCCAACGUAGACGACUCUCGGGUUGUUCUGGACACCGCAUCCGACGACAACGCCAUCACGCCGUACAUGUCAUCGUCCACCUGAAGCCCAACCUGCCACAUAAGUCACUAUUGGCUGAACAUAAAUUCUUGUGUGCUGGGACGAUGGACGUUGCUGACGUUGUGUGAGUGUCCUCGAACAUGAUGUAUGUAGUGGAGUAGCGCAUCAGGUGGUGCAACAGCCAGGGGUACUACCUCGCUGAUGAGCCUGGGGUGCACUUCGUUUGGCAGCCCAACCAAGAGUCAUCGGUACUCGUCAUGUCGCGCGCGUUCGACGACUACUAUAUCGAGGAUUGUGGUGUCAUCUUGGCGCCGGAGGUGACGCAGAGGAGGAUCGACAACAGUGACCAGUUCGUCACCCUCGCCACCACAGGGUAGCUUUUAUGCCGGCUUGCUUUAAUUCUCUUCACAAAUACACACACUUGCCUUUUUGUUUAAGCAAGAGCGUAUGAUGGUGUGUGUCUGAUGACUAACGAUGUACGAGGGAAGUUCUUCCAGCAUGUGUGGAACAUGCUCUCCAAUGAUGAGACCAUACAAAUCGUGGCAUGUAUCAAAGUCUGCAUGAUACUGAUGGUUGCAAUGUAGUGGCGAAACAACUAGAUUAAAAUAACAAAAUUUAUGUAUGGCUAGGAUCACAAAUUGAUUAUGAAACCUUUUCUCAUAACAAUAUAACACACAUUUUGUAUAUAAGUUAUCGUAGUAUACUGGUAUUAUAUAUUCCCGUUGCAAUGCACGGGCACUCAGCUAGUUUACAUAAAAGUGUUUUGGGAAUUAUUUGAAUUCCUUUUCCUUGUGCAUACUCACUUAAGGGAGUUAAAGUAGUCAAAUAGCAAAUAAAUAAAUAAAUAUAUGGUGUUACCUUCAUAUUAGGAUUUUUAUUGGAUAUAUUUGGAAAGCUGAAGUUCAAACAAGAUUUAAAUUUGAAAUAAAGUUUCAAAUUUGGAAAAUAAAGGAUAAAAGGAAAAAAGAAAAGAAAGAAAAGAAACUCAAGCAUGCGCUUUGGGCCCAAUCUGCCACGGUCGACCCAAGCAACCAUCUCGUAGCUCCUCAUCCGGUGCAUAGCCACUGCGCCGCGGGGCCCACCUGGCGGCCUCACCUUCCGCGCUGCUCACACCACUGACUUCAUGGGACCACCAGUCAGCACGGACUGAUACUGUGCACGCUUGUGAACCAGCUCCUCCUCCAUUGACUAUGGGGUCAAUGUACAUCCAACACCGGGCGUAGGCUUAUGCCUCUGUGUGGUGGGGCCAUGUAACACCCCAGGUGUUACCAAGGCCCUGACUCCCUACUUGCACCUAUGACCUGUUAUCUCAUGUGGUUAAGUGGAAGAGAGGGAGCACCAAAACCUUGGGAACCAUGUAUUAACCAAGAAUGUUAAUGACCAAAAGCAUUACCCAAGCAUUUAUGCAAUUAUCACCUUGGGCAAGAGAAGAUUAAACCCUAGACCCUUCUUGAGCCCUUAACUCCCAAAACCCUGGUUUAAGGGGGGAAAGGUUAAGCAAAUGUGCAAUCAUGAGUUAACCCUUAGCCAAAGUUUAGGUAACAUUAUAAUUUACAAAAAUGCAGAGAGGAAACAUUACAAAAAGACCCCUUAAAAACCCUAAAUUCAUUCUUUAAGUGGAGAGAGCACUAGAGCUCUCUAGUUCUUUCUAAGUCAAAUUUUAAACCUAAUUUAAAGAUCCACCGUGUUCACUUGGUAGAUGGCACCAAAACCACUUGAGUUGUAUACCAAAAAUGUCUCAUACCACCUAAGGCACCCACUGGAAAAGUUUGAAACCGAGCCCAAGACGUUUGAUAAGAUUUGGCAUGGCUUUUGUCGCGAGGUGGGCAGAGGGACAAGCCAGAUUUGGCGUCCACAAAUCUCCCUACCUAGGGCAUAUCUGCCAUGGGGACUCACAUAUAAGAGACAGCCCUAGGUGCUAGGAGGAGGCCUGCGCCGGAUUUUUGCCAAGAUUCGCACGCUUGCGAUCUCGGCGAGCUGUUGAACAAGGGCAGAAGAACACUUCCACGUGUUCGACGCGCUCUGAGCGCGCCAGUGCACGCCCAGCGCCCGACCCCGCGCGCCCCGCGCCGCGCCCGUGUCUCGUGCUCGCACCCGCGCCUAUAAAACCCCUUAGACGUCGACCGUACUCCUCCGCGUGCUCUCCACCUCACCGGAUCCAGAGAUCACCGGCGUUUGCCCUGCAAACGGCGUGCCCGCGGCCACCCGAUCCCCUACCACCGUAGACAGGCCUGCAGAGCCCUUCCCAGCCACGCCCGACCCUCGGAAGAGACCGUGCAUGCCUCGGUGAAGCUCCCCGAGCAAGGAAUCGGACUUUGCCUCGCCGGAGAAGCCAGUCCACGGUCGCCGGACUUCACCCGACCGCCGGUGAACGUAGACCGGGUAAGUCUCUGCACCAUUUUUCGAUUCCUUGCGCACAUAGCCUCUACGUCAUCCCGUGGAGCUCAUCGUGCCGUUUAAUUGAACUAGAUCGUCAUGGUUAAGCCGGAGCACCCGCCGCCGACAAGUUCACCCACCUGCGCACGUGGACCGGCUGAUUCCGGCCACCACCGCCAUCGAGCCGUACCUUGCUGUGACCGCCAGGACCUCCCGAAGCCAACCCCGCCCCUCGCCGGACCUCUCUCGCCGCCGGUAAGCCGCGCCGCCCUUUUCCUUUCUGCUGUUACUGUUUACAUAAGGGGAGGGACCUCGGGGGAGAAGAAGAUAAGGCUGGGGGGUUUUGUGCGCUGUCAGUGACUCAAGGGAACAGUGGCGCAGGGGUAGAAAUGAGUGGAUUGAUUUAGGAAGAACCCAGGGUCUUCGAUGCAAAGUAGUUUUCUAGGAAACCUUUUAAAAUAUUCUGAUUUAAAUCCAAACAGAACUUGAAAAAUUCAUAACUUCAGUUUGGUUUACCCAAAUCGAAUCAAACAAAUUUUGCCAGAUCCUUAAUAAUUUAAACUACUUAGGAAAAAUAUAAAACCCCUAAGUGUUACAGAAAACUUUAAAGUUUUGAUUUAAAUGAUUAACUAGUCAAAAUGCUAAAAGAAAAAAGGAAAAAUAGCUACACUAUUUGACUGGGGGUAAGAAAAUUUAGAGAAGUACUUAAUCACUUCCUAACCUAUUUAAAAAUAAUAAACCCCUCUGUACACCCCUUUAAGGUAGAGCUUGCCAAUUAAAUCACUUUUUGCUUAAAGUAGCAGAAAAUAUAAAAGGUGGUUUAAAUAAAGAACCAGGGAGCACCCACAUUUUUGUUAGUUUACUUAUUCAGUGUAGUUCACUAGAAAAAUUUAUUAUACCCUUGUUUAGUGCAAAAGAAAGGAGAUACCUUUUAAAUUAGAAAAACAAGGAAACCUUAGAAAAACCCUAGAAAAAUAACCCUAAGGAGAAAACACCCCAAACCUUAGGAUAACUAGUGUUUUGUUAUUAUGAACAUAGGAAAAAUAUGAAAUCUGUUGUUUGAUAUUUUUCAAAUAACAAGUUAGUUAUAAGCACCUUUUUGGCAUAAAACUUUAGAAAUUCACAACUAAAUAUCCAGUAGGCCUUUUUAUGUGAUUUUUAACACAGAGGCCUAAUAUCAUCUAUGUAUCUAGACAAAAAUACAGUUUGGUACAGAAACCCCAAUUAAAUCACAGCUAUAGUGUAAAAUGCCCUUUUAAAACUUAUUUUUGUUAAUUUUUCACAAGUAGUAUCUGAAUCCGUAUCCACCUCAAAUUUAUAGGACAGCCUGCAGUGACAAAUAGUAACCCACUGUAAUUUUUAUAGAAUUUUUGAAAAAAAUUAAACCACUGUUGUAGUUUAAACCCCCACUAGAAUUCAUAAAUAGAAAAUGAAAAAGGGAAUUAAUAGUGGAGAUUAAUGUCACCCUAACCCAACCAGCAAAACCCCUUAAAUGCCUACUACAACAUCUAAGGGAAAUCCAAGUUUCAAUCCACUAUGCUUAUCCCUAGGCAAAACUCAAACCUAAAGUUGAUAAGCAUAAACCACUAAGAGCCACGUAUAACCAGGAAACCCUAAGUUACUAACUAACUUAGUUUUUAUUCACUUAUCAUAAUGAUUAUUAAAAUCCUGCAUAAUCAUAGCAUACAUAUUCUUAUUCAUUGCAUUCGAUAGAUUGCAACCUCGCUGACGGAGAGUACGUCCUCGUGCCGGAGCAAGGAGUUGCUCAGGAGGUAGCCCCGGAUCCAGCACCAGAGCCUGCCCCAGAGGAUCUGCCUGCCCCAGCUUUGGAAGGCAAGCCCCGGUUUUAUGCAUAACCUGUUUUAUAUGCUAUUUUACUACACUUAAUGUUUGUAGGCUUGUAUUGUGCACUUAAGUGUAGGAGUUGGUUGAAACCCUAGUUGCAUGAACUCAGGAAUCCUUUUUGUAAUGAAUACUAGUAUGCUAGGUCGAGUAGCUGCCUUAUUAAUUAGGAUCUCGGUAGAAGUCGAGUGAUUUUUCUAGCACUCGCGCGAGGUCAGGAAUUGGUUGUACCCACUUUCAAAUCAUAAUGAUGCUGGUCUGUGGACAACAAUCCAUGGGGAUUGGUUGUCUACGAGAUGGAAAAUUGGAAUAAGGAUAAAAACUCGAUUCGAAUCGUCUGCUUCUUGCAGCUAAUGAGACUGCUUGAUCCAUUGUACUGCAUUGAGUAACAUGUGGAAAUGUGAUGAUGUGGCAAAAGAUGCUGAUUGCUAAAUUUGCUUGAUACCAUGAAUGAGUAUAUAGUACACAUCUAGUCUUAAGAGAGUCACACUAAAACUUGACAAAGCUAAAACUUGAUUUAUAAACUCAGCUAGUGCUUUUGGCAACCAAACCCCACAGCCAAACAGCUGCAUGUCUAGAGGUAGAGGAGUAGACUCCUCACACUGGGUAAGUCUAGCUGAGUAUUAGUAUACUCAGCCUUGCUUGUGGCAUAAUUUUACAGGUUCUCUGGAGGACAUGGUUGCUGGAGUGACUUGGCCGUCCAUCUUGCCACUGGGUUGGACUGUCGAGUGGGACCCUGCCUCAACUGAGGAGGAUCAUGAGGAGUGAUAGGACAGGCUUCCCCAUCUCUCCGUUUAUUUACCGUUAGUUUUAUUCCGCUGCACUUCGAACAAUGAUGACUACUUUUGCAAAAACUUCGAUGAUGAUGUAAUAAAUUCAAUACUCCUUAAUGUAUGGUUUUAUGCUUUAUUGUAUUUGCUCUGUGACUCACCAUCGAGUGAGACUGUGGUACUUGAUCCUGUCAGUGGCCUCGUCGGACUAGAUCCGAGGGAUUGACGGGUUAUUCCCAUUUAAGUGUGGUCUAGCCUCUAAGGCGGGACUUAGACACUUAAGCUGGAAUAAUUAGGGCAGUUCCGCCACAGGCCAGACACGCAGAAACCUCAUCUACCUCCCCUCAACAAACUUGUGUGUAUCUCGGGUUGUUACGACCGCGUGCGCUGGCCAUCCUCCAAAUCUAGGCUCUGCUCUACAUAUUUAACCGAAACCCCGCCUCUUCCAUCAAUCAUCAUGAGACGGCAGGGCACCUCACCGGGCGGAACGCCGAAUUACUCGAGAUAGCAGGGGAAAAGAAUUAAGUAACCCGACAACGACGAUCGCUGAUGCGACCUCGCCUAGGCUUUGGGCGUCGCUCGAGAUCUUCACUUGGGAAUCAUGAUUGCGAAGCUGGAAGUUGUCGAAGUGAGAAACCGAGAAGUGCUUGUCGGAGCUCGGGUGCAUCCUCGCUCCCGCACUCCGCCGUGGUCAGGCGUCGCCACAUCCCGGGCUGCCAUGGGUGUGUCUGUACUGAGUUCAUCUCCCUCUCCGCUGUGUAUUACCCUGCCAGAUCAGAUUAUUGCGUGGUCGGGGAAUAACUUUCUCACAUGAUUCAUUAAUCAACAUAGACAUAGUUUUCAUAUUCGAUCACAUAAAACUUAUGAAAAUCAUAAAUUUAUAAUCGUAUACUAACUCCGAUUUUAGUGGUUCUCGAACCUAGAUUUUCAUUGCGACGCGUAGAUCAUCAUUAUGCAGUUUGUUCAUAUGUUUGGUGUGAUGUUAAUUUUGCCUAUAUCAUGUUUGGUUGUAUUGCUUUGAAUAGCAGUGAGGUCACGAGAAUAUGAAGAUCAUCAUGGUACCUGGAAUCUCGAUUCCCAGGCAAGUUGUGCCCUUGAUCACUUUUGUUUACCAAUAAUGUUCUCUAUAAUCAUUUUGGCAUGCAUAGGCUUAAUUUUGAUGGGACCCAAUAGGUCACCCUAGUUUGGUUAUCUUUACACCUUGUUUACCCCAGAACUUUUGGGUAGUCUUUGCUAUUGCUAUAUAUGGUUUUGGGUGUUUCACAUGGUCAUUGUUUAUUAUUAUUGUUCUAUUUCUGUUCAUGAUAAGACCAUUAUGUUAAUUGGAACAUCGAGCUUAACUUGAGAAACACAUGCCACCACAAGGGUGAAAUGGGCGCCCUUGGCUGACUAAUUAGGAAAGCUAGUGGAGGACUACCUUACCCGAAAGGGGCAAGGGCAGUAGGGGAGUAGGCGUGUAGGGAGGUUCCCGGGUUGAUUUUGCUGCGAUGGCGGUGAGAGGGGGAUUUCUGCAUUGCUCUUCCUAGAACUGUAGCGGGUUUUCUGAAGCUAGUGGAACUUUGUAUGGGCCUCGUAGUGUUACCCUACCUCGCUUCCUUGGUAGAGGUGUAUGGGGCCCGUACAACCCCAUGGCAGAUGGGUAACAUGACUUGUGGGUAAAGGGUACCACCUCUGCAAAGUGUAAAACUAGUAUACUAGCCGUGCUCGCGGUCAUGAGCAGCUCAGGACUCUCACAUGAUUAAUUUAUGGAAUUAAAUUCAAUUUGUCAUUUGCAUUGCAUUGUGGAUUAUUAUGAAUUUUGAUCUAUUAUUACUCUGGUUUGAUAUCUACUUAUACUUAGUAACUACUAAUAAAAAUUUGACCAACUUUAAAAGCGAUGCUCAGCUUUAAGCAUCCUCUUUGGUAAGCCUUACACUUCACAUGAGCUCCCACCUUUGGCGAGUUCAUGCAUAUUAUUCCCCACAACUUGUUGAGAGAUGAAAGUAUGUGAGCUCACCCUUGUUGUCUCACACCCCCACAGGUCAAGAACAGGUACCACAGGAUGAGACGCAUGGAGGAUGCUGUGAUGAGUUUGUGAGAGGUCUAGGCCGUCGUCUCCCAGUCAACUUUGGGUUGCUGGAUCGUUGUCUUCAUAUGAUGUAUUAAUUUAUUUAUUUCAUACAGAACUCCUAUUAUAUAGUAAAGACGUGACAUUCGUUUUUGUACCAUAAGUCAUCAUAUGUGUAAGACUUGGUCCUAGCACACUUGGUGAUUAUGUUCACGCUCGGGUCUUGGUGCCCCCGAAACCCGGGUGUGACAGAAGUGGUAUCAGAGGGAUGUUGACUGUAGGACGAAACCUAGAUAGAACUGGACAACCCUUACCUACUUACCUUUGCUACUUUGAUUCUUUCUAAGCUUUUCUUAAUCUUUUCUCAUCUACUACUGCUUUACUCUGAUUAUUCUUACCUUUUCAUCUCUACAGACAAAAGUGGAUUUCACACUUUGAAAUCCUGUACCUAAAGAGACCUUUCGGAAUAGGAAACCAAAUCUUAGGUACAAAAACAAAACUAUUUUUAUAGAUAUUUAUGUGCUUCAAUGGUUGUUCUUAUGAUACUUGUCUGAUUUGGAUCUUUGAUUGAGUGUGAUGAGUUGUGGAGUAAUGUCCACAAUUGCAUCAGCAUAUACAUAUAGGCAUAAAAAUGCUUGUAAAAAAAUAACUAGACAAACUAGAUUAUCCCUCAUUAAAAUAUAUCUAGCUUAAUAGAUCCAUCUUGUCUUAAAAUAUACUCUCUUACCUUAAUAGAUUCAUCUUAUCUUGAAAAGAUUUUAUCUUAUCCUAAUAGAUCUAACUGACCUCAAAAGAUUCUACCUUAUCCUUAUGGAUUCAUCUUGCCCUAAUAAGCGUAUUUAUCCCACUCUAGAGUAACAACCAUGAUCUAGUCCAAAAAAUUAAUUAGAUCUUAACUACUCUAAUCUAGUCAUAACCAAUCUAAUUUAGAUACCAUCUAAUAUAACAUGAUCCAAUCUACUGAUGAAAUGGAUUAGACCCUAGUUCUAUACACAUGUCCUAACCUAAAUUAAUUUUCUGGACUAACUCGUCCGCGAACAACAACCUAACCUGCAUCACAGGUUGCCUAAUCCAUCUAUCUCAAAAGCAAAGUAAAACUCUGUUUAAAUCUACCUAUUCCAUGUACCCCAUCUAUCCUAACUAUAUGUCCUUAACUCGGAUGGCAACUCCAAGAUUGGAGAUCGAAGGUGAUCGACCACGUCAAGAUAAGGAAAGACAGAAGACAAAAAAAGUGGAUCUACAAAAGCUGGGAUCCAUCAUCCGGGAUAGAAGUUUUUCGUACCUAACCCUUCUAACCCCAACCUAUCCUCGCUUUAACCAAAUUUCACCUCACCUCGACAUAGAAGAUGCUUAUAUUCCAGUUGCUAUUAAAAUAAAUAAAAAAAGCUUUUGGUAUUUGGACCAUUUAGAAACUAAAAGCUAAACCACAAAUCAAACUAUCUAGAUCCCUCUCCUAUAAAAAAUAUGUAAACCCCGUUGGACCCAUCUUAUGAUUCCCGACCAUCUACUUGUCUAAACCGCCUAAACCCUAGUGGGGACACCAAAAUAGUAGGAGAUCAACCUCGGCAUGGAAGAAUAGGAGUCAAAUGAGAUCUCGAGAUGAUUCAAGAUUCACCAGCUUGGAUGGAGUCUUUCCUUGCCAUAAGCUUUCUAACUUCAACCUAUUCUUUCUCUAACCAUUUCUAAUCCUACUUGUUAGCUAAAACAUAAUAUGCCCAUGUUUUUCUAGCCAUACCUAGUAAUGCAAAGUAACUUUUGAGAGCAUUAAAAUUAACUGGAAAAUAAAAGUCAAGACUAAACACAAAACCUUAUUUACCCCUUUUCUUACUAAUCUCGAGGACGAGAUUAUUUUUAAGGGGGUAGGAUUUGUAAAGCCCUAAAGUUUGUAUAAUAAAAUAAAUAAAUACAUUUAUUUACAUAAAAGUGUUUUGGGGAUUAUUUGAAUUCCUUUUCCUUGUGCAUACUCACUUAAGGGAAUUAAAGUAGUCAAGUAGCAAAUAAAUAAAUAUGUGGUGUUACCUUCAUAUUAGGAUUUUUAUUGGAUAUAUUUGGAAAGCUAAAGUUCAAAUAGGAUUUAAAUUUGAAAUAAAGUUUCAAAUUUGGAAAAGAAAGGAUAAAAGGAAAAAUAAAAGAAAGAAAACAAAAAGAAACUCAAGCCUGCGCUUUGGGCCCUAUCUGCCUCGGCCGGCCCAAGCAACCAUCCUGCAGCUCCUCCUACGACGCAUAGCCACUGCACCGCGGGGCCCACUUGGCGGCCUCACCUUUCGCGCUGCUCAUACCACUGACUUCAUGGGACCCCCGGUCAGCACGGAUUGAUACCGUGCACACUCGUGAACCAGCUCCUCCAUUGAACGCGGGUCCCACGAACAGCCAACACCAGGCGUAGGCUUAUGCCUCUGUGUGGUGGGGCCAGACAUGCAGAAGCCUCAUCUACCUCCCCUCAACAAACUCGUGUGUAUCUCAGGUUGUUGCGACCGCGCGCGCUGGCCAUCCUCCGGAUCUGGGCUCCGCUCUGCGUAUUUAACCAAACCCCCGUCUCUUCCAUCGAUCAUCAUGGGAGGGCAGGGCACCUCGCCGGGCGGAACGCCGAGUUACCUGAGAUAGCAGGGGAAAAGAAUCGAGUAACCCGACAACAACGACAGCUGAUGCGACCUCGCCUAGGCUUUGGGCAUCGCUUGGGAUCUUCGCCGGGAAAUCACGAAUGCGGUGGUGGCGGUUGUCGUAGCGGGGAACUGAGAAGUGCUCGUCGGAGCUCGGGUGCAUCCUCGCUCCCGCACCCCUUCGUGGUCAGGCGUCGCCACAUCCCGGGCUACCAUGGUUGUGUCUGUACUGAGUUCAUCUCCCUCUCCGCUGUGUAUUGCCCUGCCGGAUCGAAUGAUAGAUGAGACUAUUGCGCGGUCGGGGAAGUACGGCGAUGGCGCCGCCGUGGGCGGAUUCCGGUCACCGUGGGGCACUCGCGCCACCGUACCUAGUCUGCCAAGGGUGGGUGAUGGUUGCCGGUGAUCGUUGACGAAGCGAGGAAUAGAUCAGAUUAGAUCGUGGGUAUUUAAAACCCUGACAGUAGAUCUAGGACCCAACGACGUAGAUUAGAUGAGGGAUACCUCUACGCUUAAUUGAACCCUGGCCAUCCGAUCGGCUAUGGGCAGCUGGGAUCUGGGUGGCGCAUACCUUCUCGCGUGGUUAGAUCCGGGUCGUCCAGUCCUGAUGUGGCGCGUGAGAUUAGACCACAAAACUUUAAAUCGCGACCGUCGGAUCAUGAUCGUACUGCCCUCGGUGCGUACCAGUUCGUUUUAAGUUACGCUUAAUCUGGGCCCUUGGUGCGCGAACUAGCGGUCGAUCCUCACCCGUACUCUCUUCGGCCAGGUAGUAAUGCAAAAGAACUCGUGGGUUUCGAGGGAUUAAACCCGCCGUCCACAGACAAUCUUAAAUAAUUACAUCGACACCCAGAAUUUUGCUUAGAGAACCCUAGACUCCUUGGUAUGUGUGCCUACAGUCCAGAAUUAUUGGGAAUAUUCAGAAUUAAAUCAGAAAAUGAUCAUUAGUAUAAAAAUAAUGCCAAUAACUUGUAAAAUUCAUAACUCCUUCGUUUUAACUCUGUUUUGGUCCAUUCUAGUUGCGUUAGCUUCGUAAUAAAAUUAUCUACACAUUACUAACCUUACUUACCAUGUAACAUGUUUUUUAAAUAAUUAAUUUACCCUAUGUCCAUUAGAUUUACUUCUCUAAUUAAAAUUGAAGUAAUGAUUUCAGUCCCUAGUUAUGAUUUGAAAAAAAUGUUGCCUCAUCAAGUUAUAACUUGGAUUAGAAUUAAAUUAGUAGUUUCUUAGGAAUAACUUUCUCACAUGAUUCAUUGAUCAACAUAGACAUAGUUUUCAUAUUCGAUCACAUAAAACUUAUGAAAAUCAUAACUUUAUAACCGUAACUCAGAUUUUAUUGGUCUCGAACCUAGAUUUUCAUUGCGACGCGUAGGUCAUUAUUAUGCAGUUUGUUCUUAUGUUUGGUGUGAUGUUAAUUUUGCCUAUACCAUGUUUGUUUGUAUUGCUACGAAUAGUAGUGAGGUCACGAGAAUAUGAAGAUCAUCCUGAUACCUGGAAUCUCGAGUUCCAGGCAAGUUGUGCCCUUUAUCACUUUUAUUUACCCAAUAAUGUUCUCUAUAAUCAUUUUGGCAUGCAUAGGCUUAAUUUUGAUGGACCUAAUAGGUCACCCUAGUUUGGUUAUAUUUACACCUUAUUUACCUUGGAACUUUUGGGUAGUCUUUGCUAUUGCUAUAUAUGGUUUUGGGUGUUGAGAUAACUAUUACACAUGGUCAUUAUUUAUUAUUAUUGUUCUAUUUAUGUUCAUGAUAAGACCAUUAUGUUAAUUGGAACAUCGAGAUAACUUGAGAAACACGUGCCACCACAAGGGUGGAAUGGGAUGCUCUUGGUUGACUAAUUAUGAAAGCUAGUGGAAGACUACCUUACCUGAAAGGGGCAAGGGCAGUAGGGGAGUAGGCGUGUAGGGAGGUUCCCGGGUUGAUUUUACUGCGAUGGCGGUCAGACGGGGGAUUCCUGCAUUGCUCUUCCUAGAAUUGUAGUGGGUUUUCUUAAGCUAGUGGAACUUUGUAAAGGCCUCGUAGUGUUACCCUGCCUCGCUUUCUUGGUAGAGGUCUAUGGGGCCCGUACAACCCCGUGGCAGAUGAGUAACAUGACUUGUGGUAAAGGGUACCACCUCUGCAGAGUGUAAAACUGGUAUACUAGCCGUGCUCGCGAUCAUGAGCAGCUCCGGACUCUCGUAUGAUUAAUUUAUGGAAUUAAAUUCAAUUUGUCAUUUGUAUUGCAUUGUGGAUUAUUUGAAUUUUGAUCUAUUAUUACUCUGGUUUGGUAUCUACUUUUACUUAGUAACUGCUAAUAAAAUUUUGACCAACUUUAAAAGCGAUGCUCAGCUUUAACCAUCAUCUUUGGUAAGCCUUACACUUCACAUGAGCUCUCACCUUUGGUGAGUUCAUGCACAUUAUUUCCCACAACUUGUUGAGCGAUGAACGUAUUGAGCUCACCCUUGCUGUCUCACACCCCCACACGUCAAGAAUAUGUACCGCAGGAUGAGGCGCAUGGAGGAUGCUGUGAUGAGUUCGUGAGAGGUCUAAGCCGUUGUCUCCCAGUCAACUUUGAGUUGCUGGAUCGUUGUCUUCAUAUGAUGUAUUUAUUUAUUUAUUUUGUACAGAGCUCCUAUUAUAUAGUAAAGAUGUGACAUUCGUUUCUGUACUAUGAGUCAUCAUAUGUGUAAGACUUGGUACUAGCACACUUGGUGAUUAUGUUCGCGCCCGGGUCUUGGUGCCCCCGAAAUCCGGGUGUGACACUUCUCGCGGUGACCGACCGCCAUCCAAGUUUGAGUCCGUGUCCGUUGACCUCCCGACUCUGGUGGUUCGCAUUGUGGUAGUAGAUCGAGGCUCCGACGAGGCGCCUCCACCAGAUCCGGAAGAAUCCAUGGGUUCACGGCCUUGGCCGGAGGCCCUAGGAGAACGUCGACCUCGUCGGCAUGCACGAGGUCAAUCGGCUAUGGUGGCUUGAUGCCUGAUCAACGACAAUCGACACAGCGCGUGUCGUCGGCAUAAAUCCCCUUCAACGACCGGGCACCUCGGCGGCAAACUUCAUCGACCACGUCGGUAUGUCCCAAAUCCUCGAUUGAUAUGCAAGGACCUGCGUUUUUGUUGUCUAGAUUGAUGAAGGGAUGCAUGCUUGGUUAAAUAUUGGUUGGUCCUUACUAUUACCCUAAUUUCUGGUAAUGAUAAAUUGGCCAGAUCUCGUGUGUUGAUGAUUCAAGAGUGUUUUGGGCCUACUGCUGUUAAGGUAAAAGGCAAAGUUUUCAUCAACUAGGGUCUAGGGCAACUGGAUACCUAAGAUUCCACUAGAUGGCACUCACGGUAGGCCAAGAUUCAUUGUUUUGGACCUGCUAUAUGUGUUCAUCGAUCUUGUUCUUCUCAGUUUGCAGAGAUUGAAUGGUUCAUUUGGUUUUAGAUGAUUUUGUUUGCAGAGUGAACUGUCUUAUCGAAUACUGAUUACUAAAAACAGCCCUGAUUGGUUACCAUCGUUGCUUGUCUCCAUUUCAUUAAUUUUGUUCUGUCAUGAUUGAUUAUAUAUAAUGUAGCUAUAGUUUUUGGGACAAGUGUGUACAAGGCCGAAACCUCAAUUCACCCACAUGUCUAUCUCAUCUAUGCAUUAUCUGUUCAUCUACGGUUCUACCAACUCUGGUAUUUUUAUUUAUAACAUUAUGUUGGCAAUAAUUCAAACUUAGGCUCUUCCUUUACCAAUGUGAACAUAUCACGAGGGUUCCCAAUUACAAUCUCAUACGCAUAAUAUCCUUAUAUGUGAACAUAUGACUAAUGUUGUUCUUUUCCCCUUCCUGUACGUACAAAACUUGCAGGUUAAAUCGCUCAUAUAGUCAUAUGUGAACAUUUUUUGAUGCUAAAAUGAGUGAUGAGAUAAACAAGGCCAUCAAAGCACACAUGUUUGAUAUACUACCGAGUACUGACUUUAAAUACAUAUGUAUCAAUAGCUUUUAUUAAUUGAUUUUUUGUGUGGUCACAGGACUUUGUCAGAUAUGAGGACAUCAUCUUACGUGGGUGAAAUUACACUUGCUAAACAGUGACCACUUUCGUGGUCAGUGGUAAGUCAAUUGUUAGACGCAACAACAUUACGUUUUCCCAAAUUUUUGUGGUGUCACUUUAUAGAAUAUAGGUGGCAUCUUGACAAGAUAAGUGAGGCGAGGAUAGUGACUCAAUCAGUAUGAUAUUAACUGGUUAUGUGAGAGGUGUUAUAUAGGCUUGCUUGUAGGGCUGAUGUGCAUUUUUUUAAUUCUGGUACUCCCUCCGUUUCUUUUUAUUUGUCGCUGAAUAGUGUAAAAUUGCACUAUUCAGCAACAAAUAAAAAGAAACGGAGGGAGUACUUGUUACUGUUACUCUCAUACGGAAACUGCAAGCAGCUAAACCCAUGCUAAGUAUUUUAUCAGGUAACAUGAAAAUGAUGAUGACCGGAAGCUCUUGUUGGAAGCAGCUAAACCCAUACCUAUUACAACCUCCUAAUUCUACUGCUUGAGGUUUUAGAAAAUCUAGACAUUUUUAAUAAAAAAAUUUGGCCCUUAGUUUGGAGCCAGUGGCCAUCUUUUGCCUGUGCUAUUUCUCCUUUUUUUCCUCCACUUUUUGAAUAUUAAAAUAUAAAUAACUAUGCCAAAACAGUCCAAAAUGACAAGUUCUCACUAGGAGCUACACUUCUCUUGAUAACUUACUAGGUUUCACUAUUUUGUCAAACACGCAGGAGAGUUGUAUAUCAUUGCAUUAAGGAGAAGAAAAUAUAAGGAUACAAGUAUACAAGCCACACACACUGUGUAACUAUAGAAGGAUUUAUCUGGAACUGAGACAUACAUCCGUAUAUAUAUGUCUCAACUGGUGUCAAUAAAAGUUCAUCUUUGAGUCAUUGUUGUUGUGCAGAAAUAAAAGAGACAGCAACUUAUGUCCAUUGUUAUUAAAACGUCGUUUAAACGUUUAAACGAGAAAACGUGUUUAAAAGUUGGAACGUUUGAACGUUUUAGGUUUAGGACGUAGAACGUUCGUUUCGAGCAUUUAAACGUCGUUUAAGCGUCCAAAUAGCGUUUUAGUGCGUUUUACAUGUUCCGAGGACGUUCUACCCGUCCUGGGCCUUCAGCAUUUUCUAGGUCACUUUCCUGGGCACUGACCAGCGCUGGACGCGGCGCCCUCACUCCCUCAGCCAGCCGCCGCUAUGCUCUCCUCUCUCCUCUCCUCAGCUACAGUCGGUCGCCGCCCUCCUCUUCUGCGCCGGCCAUCGCUUUGCUCUCCUCUCCUCUCCUUAGCCACAACCAGCUGCCGCUCUCCUCUCUCCCGUCCUCAGCUAGCCGCUACUCUCUGCCGGCCCACCGGUCGCUGACUGCGCCCACAACAGCCCAUGGUAUUCAUAUUGAUGCGUUCGAUGAUGGUUACUGAUCAUGCAUAAAAGUUAUAACUUAUGUGGUUGAACUUGUGUUGUUGAACUUGAUCUGUUUCUUUUUAUGCUAUUUGGCUUGUGAACUCAACUUAUGUAUGAACUUAUUCUAUAUUUGAAUUUCUAUGUCAAGUCUGAAAAGACGUUUCAACAUUCGUUUAAACGUUUAAAUGUUAAAAAGUUGGUUCAUAACAUUUUAACGUUUUACCGCUUUAAUAACCAUGCUUAUGUCUGUUAAUUGACAACUUAGGUAUGGAAUAUGCAUCUACACAUAAAACCAAUGCAGUCAUUAGCAUGGAAUAAUAUUGGUCUGCAUGAAGGGAAGAAAGUUGAAGCCUCUGCACAUAGAGACUUCUAAAUUGCUUAGAGCCAAUGAUCAGUGGCAACUAGACUGAAGUGCCCAUCAAAGCCAAAUAUUGAGUUUGGUUGUUAUCAGAAGUUCAGAACAGAUUAUGUAAACAAUAUUUUUGGGGAUGAAACCGAAACCCAACUUAUUUGUAUCACUAUGAUGCGGUAAGUUUCCUUAAAUGUAGUGUACCUUGGUUAGUGGCACAAAUUACAUUAUGAUUACCUGGUUAAUGGCACUGCAUCCUUCUACUCUACAUUAGCUGGAUGGUGAGCCUGUGUGACCAUAAAAAAACUGCAAAGAGAAUGUUAAAUAUUUAGAAUCAUAGAGCUAGAUGCACAGAAUCGCAACCGUCUGAUCUCGAUUUGGGGGGGCCUUUUUCUUUUGGGUUUCGAUUUCGUAUGUUUUCGUCUGUUUUGUAGCCCAACCGACUGUGCUUUUUGGGAUUCGAUGAAUAAGGUUUGGCCUUUUAAUUCUUUGAUUAUGAUGUGCACUUUGGUAAUUCUUCUUGCUUUUGCCAGCUAGGUUUCGAGGAAUGAUUGAACUCUUAUUCUUGGCUUCUAAUAGAUUUCUUUGAUGCUAUGUUUUUCUUUCUCUGUUAUAUAGUUUAUUUUCUCUGAUUCAGCUUGAUCUAUGAUUAUGUGUAGACAACUUUGGUACGAACAAGGCAGCUUCCAGUGGCACAUCACUCAGCACCAAGCGCCUCGAUGAUGACACUAAGGAAGAACGACGUGUUUCAAUAGAACAUCAGUGGUGCCCGAGGACGAGGAGGAUCUUGGGGCCCUUCACUUCAAACUGAACGAUUUGUUCAAAUUUAGCCUAGCACUACUUGAAUGUAACAAGUGAACAAAUGAUGGGCUCAUAUGCAACCAUUGAAUCAAUGUUUAUGGUACAAUGUUUGUUAAACUGAGAAACCUUCUUAUGGUUAAAGUUGUGGCAAGGCACUGAAAGCGCGAAAAAUGUUCUACUUUUAUUUAUAUGAGAUACAAAUAGCUUAUAUCAUAGCUUACAAGGAAAGAUCCACCAUAAUAAGUUUAGUUUCUAUUUAUAAACCGUAUUGAUUUGGUCUUUAUAUGUAGUAGUCAUACAACCAUUCUAAAUAUACAAUUUGAGACCAGAUCAAGCAUGUAUACAUAUAUUUUAUACUUCAAUACCCCCUCAAUUAUAACUUGGAUAAGUUAAUAUUGUACCCAAAAAAUUUAAUCUUUUUCCUACUACACUUUUGAUGAAACCAUCUGUCACCUGAUCCUUCGUUGACAUGGUUGGAACACCGAGUAGUUCAUGUGAGACUCUCUCUCUCUCUCUCACACAAAAUGAUAGUCAAUUUCAAUGUGUUUGAAACAUGCAUGACACUAGAUUAGUCAUUAAGUAAGUAGCACAAAUAUUAUCACACCAUAAUUUAGCACAAGGGGAUGCAUGAAUACUAAGACUUUAAUAAAGAUUGGAUCCACAUUACUUCAACAGUUGCAUUUGUGAAAUCUUUUAUAUUCAGCCUCUACACUUAAUCUUGAUAUCGUAGCUUGCUUUCUAGCACUCUAAGACACAAGAUUGUUGCCUAGCAAAAUAGCAAAACCCAUGUAGACCUAUCAUCAAGAUUGACAACCUAAUCAACAUUAAAACAUGCUAAUAAUCACCAAAGAUGGUUUCCUUAUUAUAAGUUCGACGUUUAGAUAUCAAAUAAUUCUUUUUACCAUUGACCAUUGAACACCAGUACGUGCAUGUAGAAUCUGACACACCUUAUUAACUAAGAAUGCAUUAUCUAUUUUUUAUCAAGGUUAAUUAUUAUAGUGACCCAUUAUGCUUCUAGAGUUUGUGACAUCUUUGACACCCAAUAAGUUCCCUUCCUCUAUGGAUACUUUUUCAGAAGUAGAAAUGGAGUGGAGACUGGUUUGCAAUAUAUCAUCCCGCUCAUUUCAUUAUAUUAGACACAUGUUUAUCUUAUGAGAGAUAUAUUAUGUAAUGUGCCUUAUAUACUUCCUUGAUGUGUACCCAUACUUAAGAUACCCUAAGAACAACACAAAGGGUCCACAAAUUCACAUGGCCUAGAAUGAUCUCCAAUCACGGUAACCCUAGUUCGACGACUCCAACAAGGAGAACCUUGAUCUAAGUUCCCCCGAUCAUGAUGCCCGACCUAGUUACCUCAGUUAGGAUGAAUCCAAUCGUAACCAAGCUAGCUAAGAAUUCCCUGACUAUGAUAGACUUGACCUUAAUCACCCAAACAAAAAUUCCAACCAAGUCAUCCUAGUUAGGCGACCAUGACCUCAGUCACCCUAAUACAAAGAUGAUUUAAAACCAAGCACCUCUGGUACGACCCCACGACCUCGAGUUGGCACAACCCGCUAAGGGGAAGUGCAUUUAUGAUUAUCUGACCAUUUGACGCAUGCACCUAACUGAGAUGUGCAAAAGGCAAGAAUAGGUAUUGUUGGUCACUUGUUCUCAAAUGCUAUAAGUUAAGAACAAGGCAACACAAAUGUUAAUGGUUAAAGACCUUCGUCCUUCGAAGCAUUAUCUCCCUUAGGAUAUAAUGAUCUUCAGACGAAGGUUAUGAAGGACAAACCUUCAUCAUCUCAAUAUGUAAUAAUAAAAAACAAGAACAUAUGAGACAUACAAAGAACAUGAAUGAUAAUAUCAAAUCACUAGAUUAUCUAUAUUCUUAUUAUAUGAUCAUGAACAAACGUUAAUGAUAUUGAAUUACAUUUGUACCUUUGACAUGACAGAAGGUAAGAAUCCAAGAGUGACGUGCGAGUGAUUACAAGUCAGCGUGAACUGUACAAGGGUACUGUUCAUCUAUUUAUAGGCACGAGACACAACCCGGACAAAAUUACAUUCAUGUCCUUGAUAACUAAUCAUGACUAUGACUCAAACUAUUAGGGACUAUGUAGUCUUUUCCUCUUUAAGUCGGUGCCACCCUUUGUCUCAAGCGUGUCAUCAUGCUGAAGCUCUUUUAGUAACAACUUCGACAUACAUCUUCAUGUUGCGCCUGCUUGCAUAUUAUCUUUCCGAAGGUGUUUUUGCUUAGAGGACCUUCGGCGGAGAAGAAGGCCCCCAACAUUAGCCCCUUUGUGGUGCUAGAUCGUUUUUUCGUAACGAGCUCGAUUCGCGAAAAACUCGAAGGCUUCGGAAUGCCGAAGGUCCGAAAAACACCUUCCCUGAUCUCGUUGCCGAAAAACGAUUAUAAUAUUCCAAGCACCGAGUGGUCCACCGUUCAGCCAGUGCAGGCGAUGUGUCGGUUCGCCUUCCCACCUGCAGCACUAUAUAAACAGACGGGUUGGUGAAGAGUUACCAAAGCAUUCAUUGCCAUUGCACUGUUGUGCUGUUAAAAAAUUUAACCAUAGCCGAAGCUUUGUGUGUUGCGCCUUGAAGCGAACACUUUCAUCGUUUAAGGUUAACUUUGUCAAACAGGUUUUUGAAUAAGAAGUCAUGGAACAAUCAGGUCUAGUUAUGACAGAGGGAACUACUAACGAAGGUACUCCUGAUGCCGAAGCUGAACAGACUGUUGUUGAAUAAGAAAAUGUUGAUGAAGAUGAAUAAGAUUACAGUAUUUUGAUCCCCACAAAGCCCAAUCAUUUAGAUUUUGAGAAAUCUAUUGUGUCCGAAGACGACAUGCCCAUGAUGAUGAAACUGGGCUAUUUUGGAUAAGCUGAAAGAAAACUUGUUCGAUUCGCUGGAGAAGAAACUACCCCAGUGCCGAAGAAGGAUGAAAUUGUGGUUUUCAAGAGCUUCUUCAGAGCGGGGUUGCGAUUUCCCCUGAAUGAGAUGAUAGGGGAAGUCCUAAAAAAUUUCAAAAUAUACCUUCAUCAGCUGACUCCUAAUGCUAUCGUUAGGCUCAGCGUCUUCAUCUGGGCCCUCCGAAGCCAAGGGAUGAGCCUAGAUGCCGAAGCAUUCCGCCGAGUGCACGAGCUGCACUAUCAGACAAAGGUCAGGGCAGAUGGUCUUCACAAAAAUUUUGGUUGUUACAAUUUUGCAUAUCGCAAGGAUACGAAGGCACCAGUCCUCAGCUACCGUACAAAGUGGCCAACCGGCUGGAAAAAUGAAUGGUUUUAUAUUAAAGCUGAUGAGAAAAAGAGGGAGAAGCUGAUGACCAUGGUCAUGAGCCCGCUGUCUUUAAACUUCGGAAUGACCAGGCCCCUAUGCAACAUGCAACUGAGGUCACCAUGCCAGCUGGCCGAAGUAGAGUUUAGAGUGGUGGCCAAGCAAACUAGUACCAGGGACCUGGUGCAGGAAUAUCUGGCCAACCAGACGUAUCCAACGUCAAGUGGCCGGGGAAUGCCGAAGAUGAAAGAAACGAAGCAGAAGCAUGAACUUGUUCGACUAGCUUAUCGUUUCAAGUUUAAAAAACAAUUCAAAAAGUCGUACAAAAAGUGGCUGGACAUGAUCGAGACAAUGUGCAAUGAAAUACUUGGAAAUUAUACCAAAAAGGAAGACCAACUCAUGGCCGCAGCCUUCGGCACCCGACCCAAACGAAGGUUGAACUAGGUGAUGGAUGCCUUGAAAUUAGAAUAUCUUGAUUAUGAAAGGCUUGAUAAAGGUGACGAAGGUGUGAAAAGAAAGAGAAUUGUCAGUAUUCUGAGCAGACAAGCUGCUAAAAUGGUAAACGAGGAUGAAAAAGCUUCAAAGAAAAGAAAAUCCACUCCUGAGCCGAAGGCUGCUACUUCGAAGAAGAGGAAGACUGAAAGUCCAGAGCCGAAGAUAACAGAGGCAGCAGAGGAGACUCCUUCUACGCCUCCUGCUGCCGAAAUAGCAGAAAUUUUAAAGGUAAUGACUGAAUCUUUAACCAUCAAGCUGCUAAGUCCUCUAGGGCCAGAACUGACGAACCUUUUACAGAAGAAGGAUGAGCCUUCGGCUACAAAGAAGAAGGCAGAUGGGCAGAAAAACGAAGAAUCGUUACUGUUAUGCAAGCCAUUGAAUGGACGCCACCGUCGGCCUCGGCAUCCAAAAUAACACCCAUUGCAAGCGCCGAGGCCAUUGCCGAAGCUAAUACCUCUGCCGAAGCUGCAGCUGCUGCCGAAGCUGCCAACCUUGAGAGUACACUGUCUAGGAAUGAUAAAAUGCUCUCGGAUAUGACUGUAGAAGAAACAACUGCGGCUGCAGAGAAGGUCAUGGCCACAGUGCCUGACAAAGGGAAAAAGAUUGCCAAUGCUGCUUCGAAAGAAAAGGACUUUGACCUUCGGAACCUGGUCGGUCAAGAAUUAUCCGAGGCCGAAAAGAAGGAGGUACAGGAGUAUGGGAUAUCCUGUGGCUACUAGCCAGGAGCUAUGCUCUUUGGUGGAAUCGAUGAAGGAGCCUUAGGAUGCAUUCGCGACCACGCCGGGGCAAAGAUAAUCGGCACUCUAUCGAAGAGUGUCAGCUUACCGAAGCUUGAAGCUGAUAUCAGCGGCUACCGGUGACAACAUAUCGUCGGCAGUUUGUUUUAUUCCAACUUCAAGGUAAAAUUCUGUUGUCUGAAUUUCUUUUAUUUUUGUGAUGAAGCAAGGUUUUCUGAUGUCGGCUUAUUUCUACAGAGUAUGCUGCUAAGUAAGGCACUGAGAAUGCAACAAGACCUCAAAGACAAGAAGAAUGAAAUCAUAAUCGAGGGCUUGGAAAACAAAAUUAAAGACUACGAAGCUUCUCUUGAGAAGAAAGACUUCCUACUUCAGGCAACAGAGGGUUCCCUUGUGGAACUUCAAACUGAAAAUGCUAGAUUAAACGAGGAGCUUCUCUAGGCUCAAGAAACUUUAAAGAAAAAUUCAGAACGCUUCGAGCAAGAGAAACAAGAACUGCAAACAAAAUGCAAAGCCGAAGCUGAUAAAAAUAUGAAGCUGCAGGAGUUUUUGAAAGAGCUUCAGAAUAAGUGCCUGGAAUUUGGUAGCCGUUGCGUGCAACGGUUGAAAAAGGUCUUCAGCUCGGUUGGGGCCAGUUCCAAAGAAAUUACACCUUCAACUGAAGACAUAACAAACACCUUCGAACAUAUUGAAAAUGAAGUCGAGGCGCUUGAUGAAAUGAUAGCCGGGCACGAUGACUUCUGUGCCUUGCUAGCUUAUCGCGGCAUAGCUGCAACAUUUAUGAAGGCUGGUUGCAUGCACGCAAAAACGGUAAAUAGACCAACCUUCAGUCUGUCUCCAACAGAUUUGGUUGAUAUCCCCAGUGAAGCCCGGAGCAUCGGGAACAUGUUUAUAACUCACAUUUGGGCUAAGGGUGGGCGAGAGUUGGCUGGUGACGAAGCCCGAAACUUGCUUAAGCCGGUAUAGAACUUAUACCUAUUGCUUGCUUUAUGUCUUGUAAUUUUUCUUUUUUACCUUAUACCGUUUGUUUAUCUGCAAGAUGGUGGUGCCGAAGAUUUAUAAUCCGAAGCACGUUCCGAAGGCUGUUGAAGCUUCUCUUUAGGCCUGCCUGUGUAGAGCUUAGUAACAUUUGUAUUAACUUUGUAGAAAAAACUGUAAUCGAGGAUUGAACAAUGCUAUGUAUAACUGUCCAUACCUUGUAAUAUAUUUUUACCUUUUCAUCCAUGUACAAGUUGCUUUGCUGUGGACGAAACUUGUAUUUUUUGAGCCGAAGGCGAAAAACACCUUCCCUUCUUUUCGUACACAACGAAGCAUGCUGUUGCGUCACAUGUAUACGUUUGAAACGAAGCUUCUUUGUGUUCAUCGAAGCACUGUCGUCGAAGAUGGAGUAUUUCUGUUCGUGCUUCAUGUUAUGAUGAUGAUGAUCCUACAAAUGUCUAAAUGAAUGUGUAUGAAUGCAAUGAAUGAUGUAAUGUAAUGUGCAAAUGAAUGUCCCGAACACACACGAAGCCACACCCAGACUCUACAUCCCAUUAGGAACGACUUUGGAGUCUUUAAGCUCUGCAUCCCUUUAGGAACGACUUUGGAGCUUCUUACCUUAUAUUUCGGUGGCAUUUAAGCUCCGCAUCCCCUUAGGAACGACUUUGGAGCUUCUUCACCUUCUAUUUCGAUGGUAUUUAGCUCUGCAUUCCCUUAGGAACGACUUCUGAGCUUUGGAACUUACGCUGCGCUCCCUUAGGAACGACUUUUUGUAGCUUCGUCAUGCUCUGCAUCCCCUUAGGGACGUCUUUCGAGCUUCUCCCUGUUUUCUUUUUGCACUCAAUGGUGCAAGCUCUAAUUUUACAUAUUACAUCUUUGGGGGAUUUUGGCCCUUGUAUUGCGUAGGGCUAAAUAAGAAUGUAAAAAUUACAAGCUAUGGCCCCAUUAAAAACCUUUCUCCCCUCCUGAAAGGAAAAGGGUGCCAUAGAAAAAGAAUGAAAAAAGAUUACAUCAAAUUACACAUAGUACCGUCGAAGCUCAUCCGUAUUGCAAGAUCUAGGUAUGUCGUUGCCGUCGAUAUCCUCUAAUCUGUAAGAACCGGGUCUUGACGAAGAUACUUCCAGAAAAGAACCUUCCCACUUCAGUUGUAACUUGCCCACUAUAUCUGGGUUGGCCACUCUCCGAAGCACCAAAUGCCUUGGCUUGAUGUUUUUCAAUCGAACUUUCCUGUCACGCCAUCUUAUUGUUUCGGCCCGAUAUUUAUUGAUGUGUUCUAUGGCCUAAAGUCUGGUCCCUUCUAUAGUAUCUUUUGCUGUUGGAUAAUCAGCUUCGUCUUCCACCGAAGCUGUUGUUCUUAUUGAUCCUGUCUUUGCUUCUUCUGAUGUUAUUGCUUCGUCACCAAACAGAAGCUUGAAGGGUGUAAAACCUGUUGACCUUGACACAGUUGUGUUGUGGCUCCACACCACUUUAAUCAGCUCAUCUGGCCACUUUCCUUUGGGCUGGUUGAAGAUUAACUUCAUUAUUCCUGUCAUUAUAAUGCCAUUUGCUUUUUCUACUAGCCCAUUUGAUUCUGGAUGCCUUACUGAUGCAAAAUUAAUUUUUGUACCAAUUCGAUCACAGAAAUCUUUGAAUGUUUCGGCAUCAAAUUGUGUUCCAUUGUCCACAGUUAUUGCCUUCGGCACGCCGAAGCGGCAAACAAUGUUUUGCCAAAAGAAUUUCUGUACUGUGGCCGAAAUUAUUGUGGCUAAAGGUUUUGCUUCGAUCCACUUAGAGAAAUAUUCCACUGCUACAACAACAUAUUUCAAAUUUCCUUGUGCAGGUGGAAGUGGACCUAACAAAUCCAGACCCCACCUUUGCAGUGGCCAAGUUGGCUGUAUUAACUGAGUUAGAGAUGAAGGUUGUUUCUGGUCUUUUGCACAUAUUUGACAAUUUUCACACUUUUGAACCAGAUCUGCUGCAUCCGAAGCUGCCUUCGCCCAAUAAAAUCCUUGUCUGAAACCUUCCCCAGCAAAGGCCUAGACCCAAUAUGAGAUCCACAUAAACCUGCAUGUAUUUCCUUCAUCAGCUCUUGACCUUCGGUUCUGGAUAAACACUUGAGUAAUGGAGAGCAGACUCCAUGUUUAUAUAACUCCCCUUCUAUUAUCACAUAUGGUCUUGUCCUUGCUUCCAUUCUUUUAUUAUAAACUUCGUCAUCCGAAAGACAGUUACCUUGGAGGAAAGAUAUAAUUUCAGUCCUCCAAUCUUCACUAUGUACAGAUGAUAUCGCAAGCACUACCCUCUCCAUAAGUUCGACUGAAGGUGCUUUUAUUGUCUCAAAAAACACUUCUGAAGGCAAAGUGAGCCCCUGUGCCGCUGAUUUGGCUAGCAACUAUGCAUGCUCAUUUUCCCCACUUGGAAUAUUUUUUACAGAAAAUCCUUCGAAAGAGCCGCCAAUCUUCAGACUGUAUCCAAAAGUUUUUCAAGCUUCGGAUCCCUUGCCUUGCUGCUUUUGUCUACAUGACCGGAAAUAACUUGAAAAUCAGUUUUAAGGACUGCCCUUCUUAUUCCCAUUGCCUUUAGCUUCCGAAGCACUAACAGAAGGGCUUCAUAUUCAGCAAUAUUAUUUGUACAACUAAAGUCCAGCCUUGCUGCGUAGCAUGUCCUAACGUUAGAGGGUGCUACUAAAACAACAGUCGCUCCUGCACCGAAGGUUCCCCAAGAACCGUCACAUAAUACUGUCCAGGCUUCGACGUCUUUUGUUGCUUCUUCUCCGUGAGCCCCUGGCGUCCAAUCAGCAAUGCAAUCUGCUAAUGCCUGAGACUGAAUUGAGGAUCUAUGUACAUAAUCAAUAGUGAAUUCAUUGAGCUCCGCAGCCCAUUUUCCAAUUCUUCUUGUAGCUUCUCUGUUUCUCAUUAUGUCUUUCAGAGGUUGUGAUGAAGGGACUAUUAUAUGAUAGGCUUGAAAGUAAUGCCGAAGCUUUCCAGAGGCCAUUAGCACAACAUAUAGCACCUUCUCCAAUUCUGUGUAAUUUUUCUUUGAUAAACUGAGUAGUUCGGAGACGAAGUAUAUUGGUGCUUGUCUUUUUACUUGACCAUCUUGCUUCUCCUGUACAAGUGCCGCAUUGACUGCAAAAUGAGAGGCUGCCACAUACAGGAGUAACAGAGUUCCUGAUGAAGGUGGAGUUAGAGUUGUCAAGUCUAUCAAGUAUUGCUUUAACUCUUCGAAAGCCUUUUGUUGAGCCGGACCCAUUGAAUAACUUCGGCUGACUUCAGUAUUUCAAAGAAUGGCAGAUUCCUUUCUGCCGAUCUUGAUAUAAAUCUAUUUAACGAUGACAGACUUCCUGCCAAUCGUUGAGCCCCCUUCUUUGAAUUUGGCGGCUCCAUCCGAAGGAUAACUUCGAUCUUACUUUGGUUAGCUUCGAUUCCCUUCGUUGAUACCAGACAGCCAAGGAACUUGCCCUUCUUUACUCCAAAAACACACUUUUCUGGAUUUAACUUAAGACCAGCUUGCCUGAAAUUGGCAAACGUCUCUUCCAAGUCGGCAACAUGAUUCUCUUGUUUUGUGCUUUUUACUAUGAUGUCAUCAACAUAAGUCAUCACAUUCCUGCCUAUUUGAGAGUGAAGAACCUUGGCUGUCAUUCUGCUGAAGCUUCCUCCAGCAUUCUUGAGCCCCUCGGGCAUCCGAAGGUAACAAUAAGUACCACUGGGAGUUAUGAAGCUUGUCUUUGGCUCAUCUUCUUUUUUCAUCCAAAUUUGGUGAUAGCCCGAGUAGCAUUCCAAUAGGCUCAUGAGUUCUAAAGAAGCUGCUGCAUCUUCAAGGGAGUCUAUUCUUGGUAAAGGGAACUCAUCCUUCGGACAUGCCUUGCUGAGAUCUGUGAAAUCAAUACACAUUCUCCAUUUCCCAUUAGCCUUCUUCACCAUAACAGUGUUGGCUAGCCACUCUAGAUAUGUUACUUCUCUGAUAACACCAACACUGAGAAGUCUCUUUACUUCAUUCCGAGCACCUUCGGCUUUAUCCUCAGACAUUUUCCGAAGUCUUUGCUUCCUAGGCUUGAAAGAUGGAUCCACGUUGAGUGAAUGCUCAUUGACACCACAGAGAUCGUUAGGUAUCCAAGCGAAGACAUCUUUGUUGUUGAACAAAAAUCUUAGCAGAGUCUUUUCUUGUUCAUCAGAUAACUGAGAUCCCAUCAAUACCCUUUGAUCUGCUAUAUCUUCACACAGGAGCAUAGGUUUCGGCUGAUCUGCCGAAGCAACCUUCUCUCUUUUGUGCUUAUAUUGUUGACAAGCUUCGGCUCCAUCUAUGUUAUGGAUCGCCUUUGAAUCCUACCAACUCCCUUCAGCUCUCCUGGCUGCUUCUUGACUCCCGUGAACAGCAAUGGGCCCUUGUUCCGAAGGUAUCUUCAUGCAUAAGUACGCUGAGUGGAGUAUGGCUUCGAAGGCAUUAAGCGUCCCUCAACCAAUGAUUGCAUUGUACGGGUAUUCCAUGUCAACAAUGUCAAAGACAACUUGUUUAGACCUUGUGUUGUGGACGUAACCGAAGGUAACUGACAUUGUCAUUUUGCCAAGUGCCACAAUCUGCCUCCCUCCGAAGCCACAAAGAGGGUGUAUUGCAUCAUGAAUCUUGUCUUCUGGUUCUUGCAUCUGUCUGAAAGCCUUUGCAAAUAUGAUGUCCGCUGCAGUGCCUGUGUCAACCAGAACAGUGUGGACCAGAAAUCCCGUGAUGACACCAGAUAUAACCAUGGCAUCAUUGUGAGGAUAAUCUUUAAGCUGAAGAUCCUCCUGGGAGAAGGUGAUUGGGAUGUGAGACCACUUGGAUCUGAUGAAGGGUCCUUGCACCCCAACAUGCUGCACUCUUCUUUGUGCUUCCUUCUUCUACUUCUUGUUAGCUGGCUCUGAGCUUGAACCGCAUGUGAUUGGGAGCACCAGCUUCGUGACCGAAGGUGCUACAACUUGGUCGUUGUACAAAGCCAUUGUUACAAUAGUGGAAGUGAGUUCACCGGAGGUGGGCGCCAAUGUUGGUCACUUGUUUUCAAAUGCUAUAAGUUAAGAACAAGGCAACACAAAUGUUAAUGGUUAAAGACCUUCGUAUUUCGAAGCAUUAUCUCCCUUAGGAUAUAAUGAUCUUCAGACGAAGGUUAUGAAGGACAAACCUUCAUCAUCUCAAUAUGUAAUAAUAAAAAACAAGAACAUAUGGGACAUACAAAGAACAUGAAUGAUAAUAUCCAAUCACUAGAUUAUCUAUAUUCUUAUUAUAUGAUCAUGAACAAAUGUUAAUGAUAUUGAAUUACAUUUGUACCUUCGACUUGACAGAAGGUAAGAAUCCAAGAGUGACGUGCGAGUGAUUACUAGUCAGCGUGAACAGUACAGGGGUACUGUUCAUCUAUUUAUAGGCACAAGACACAGCCCGAACAAAAUUACAUUCAUGUCCUUGAUAACUAAUCAUUACUAUGACUCAAACUAUCAGGGACUAUGUAGUCUUUUUCUCUUUAAGUCGGUGCCACCCUUAGUCUCAAGCGUGUCAUCAUGCCAAAGCUCUUUUAGUAACAGCUUCGGCAUUCAUCUUCAUGUCCCGUUUGCUUGCAUAUUAUCUUUCCGAAGGUGUUUUUGCUUAGACGACCUUCGGCGGAGAAGAAGGCCCCCAACAGUAGCCCCUUCGCGGUGCUAGAUCGUUUUUCGUAACAAGCUCGAUCCGCAAAAAACUCGAAGGCUUCGGAAUUCCGAAGGUCCAAAAAACACCUUCCCUAAGCUCGUUGCCGAGAAACGAUUAUAAUAUUCCAAGCGCCGUGUGGUCAACCGUUCAGCCAGUGCAGGCGAUGUGUCGGUUCGCCUUCCCAACUGCAGCACUAUAUAAACAGAUGGGUUGGUGAAGAGUUACCACAACAUUCAUUGCUAUUGCACUGUUGUGCUGUUAAAAAAUUUAACCAUAGUCGAAGCUUUGUGUGUUGCGCCUUGAAGCGAACGAUUUCAUCGUUUAAGGUUAACUUCGUCAUACGGGUUAGCUUCGUCAAAUUGCAAAAAAUCCAUCAAAAUGGCCAGUUGGGGCCAUGCUUCGUCGCCGAAGGUUCUGCAGGAAGAAACACCUUCGGCAAAUCCGUCUAAACGUAGUGCCGAAGCUACCACUCAUGAAGUUUCGGUACUAUAACGUAUCUGAAGACGAAGGUUCGAACCGACUUAAAGAUGAAAUGACUUUUUAGUCCAUAAGGGUCUGAGUCAUAAUUGUAAUCUUUUGUAAGGGGCAUGAUUGUAAUUUCUCAUAGGCUGCGUCCUGUGCCUAUAAAUAGAUGAACAAUAUUCCUUUACUGUUCACGCAAUCCUGUAAUCAUCAACGCAUCACACUGGAAUUAUUGUUCUUUGCCAAGGCAAAGGUAUAAAUGUGUCUAAAUAUUAUGUUUUAAUAUUUAAGUUUCUAUAAUAACAUAUAUGCAUAAUAAGAUAUAUGUUUUCGAUAUAAAUUUCUUUAAUGUUUCGUGUUCUAGCAUUGUUUAUAUUAUCUUAUAGAGCUGAUCACGAAGGUAAGACCUUCGUGAUAUUUUGCUUAUGGCCUUCGUCUCCGAAGUUCAUUAUAUCCUAAGGGAAAUAAUGCUUCAGCGGACGAAGGACAUUAACAUUUAACAUUUUAUGUUGCCUUGUUCUUAAUUCAUAGCAUUUGAGAACAAGUCCCCAACAUUGGCGCCCACCUCCGGUGAACUCACUUCCACUUUCUGAGCUGAUGGCUUCGUUCAACAACCAAGCUGAAGCUGCUUCGGCUACGAAGCUGGUGCUCCCGAUAAUAGGCGGUUCAUGUUCAGAGUCGGACAACAAGAAGCAGAAGAAGGAAGCUCAGAGAAGGGUACAACAUGUCGGGGUGCAGGGACCCUUCAUCAAGUCAAAAUGGUCUCAUAUCCCAAUUACCUUCUCCCAAGAGGACCUUCAGCUCAAGGAUUACCCUCACAAUGAUGCUAUGGUCAUAUCUUGUGUCAUCAAAGGAUUUCUAGUCCACAAUGUUUUGGUUGAUACAGGCAGUGCAACCGACAUUAUAUUUGCUAAAGCCUUCAGACAGAUGCAAGAACCAGAAGACAAGAUUCAUGAUGCUACACACCCUCUUUGUGGCUUCGGAGGAAGAAAAAUUGUAGCGCUUGGCAAGAUUACCAUGCCAGUGACCUUCGGAUUUGUCAACAAUACAAGGACUGAGCAAGUUGUGUUUGACAUUGUCGACAUGGAGUACCCUUACAAUGCAAUCAUUGGUCGUGGAACACUCAAUGCUUUCGAAGCAAUUCUUCAUCCAGCAUAUCUUUGCAUGAAGAUACCUUCGGAUCAAGGACCUAUUGCUAUUUAUGGGAGUCAGGAAGCUGCCAGAAAGGUUGAGGGGAACUGGACAGAUUCAAAGGCAAUCCAUAAUAUAGAUGAAGCCGAAGCUUGUGAGCAGUACAAGUACAGAAGGGAGAAGGCUGCUUUGACCAAUCAGCCAAAACCCAUGCUUUUAUGCGAACAUAUCGCAGAGCAGAAGGUGCUGCUGGGAUCUGAAUUGUCUGAGGAACAGGAGAAAAUCUUGAUAAGGUUUAUGUUCAACAACAAAGAUGUUUUUGCAUGGACAACUAAUGAUCUCUGUGGUGUUAACAUGGAUGUCAUUGAACACUCGCUCAAUGUUGACCCAUCCUUCAGACCUAGAAAGCAGAGGCUUCGGAAAAUGUCUGACGACAAAGCUGAAGGUGCUCGGAAUGAAGUGAAAUACCCAGAGUGGCUAGCCAACACUGUUAUGGUGAAGAAAGCCAAUGGUAAAUGGAGAAUGUGCAUUGAUUUUACUGAUCUCAAUAAGGCUUGCCCAAAGGAUGAAUUUCCAUUACCAAGGAUAGAUUCUCUAGUAGAUGGAGCAGCUUCGUCAGAGCUUAUGAGUCUGCUAGACUGUUACUCAGGCUAUCAUCAAAUUUGGAUGAAGAAGGAGGAUGAGCCAAAAACCAGCUACAUAACCCCUAGUGGAACAUAUUGUUAUCUUCGGAUGCCUGAGGGGCUCAAGAAUGCUGGAGGAAGCUUCAGCAGAAUGACAGCGAAGGUUCUCCAUUCUCAGAUAGGCAGAAAUGUGCUAACUUAUGUUGAUGAUAUUAUAGUAAAAAGCACCAAGCAAGAAAAUCACAUUGCUGAUCUGCAGGAGACAUUCGCUAAUUUCAGACAAGCUGGUCUGAAGCUGAAUCCAGAGAAGUGUGUCUUUGGAGUAAAGAAGGGGAAAUUCCUUGGUUGUCUAGUCUCAACAAAAGGAAUCGAAGCUAAUCCAAAUAAGAUUGAAGCUAUUCUUCGGAUGGAGCCGCCAAGCACAAAGAAGGGGGCUCAACGACUGACAGGAAGACUAGCAUCUCUCAAUCGAUUCAUAUCUAGAUCAGCAGAGAGAAAUUUACCAUUCUUCGAAGUGCUGAAGUCAGCCGAAGUCUUUCAAUGGGGAUCAGCUCAGCAGAGAGCCUUCGAAGAGCUGAAGCAGUAUUUGAUAGACUUAACGACGUUAACUCCACCAACGCCAGGGGCUCCCCUAUUGCUGUACGUGGCAGCUUCGCACUCAGCAGUGAGUGCGGCACUUGUUCAAGAAAAACUUGAGGGACAAACCAAUAAGCAAGCCCCAAUAUACUUCAUCUCCGAAGUUCUUAGUCUAUCAAAGAAGAAUUAUACAGAAUUGGAGAAGGUCUUAUAUGCCGUCUUAAUGGCAUCCAGGAAGCUUCAACAUUAUUUUCAAGCAUAUCAUAUAAUUGUUCCUUCAUCACAACCUUUGAAAGAUGUCAUGAGGAACAGAGAAGCUACUGGAAGAUUUGGAAAGUGGGCUGCGGAGCUCAAUGAGUUCAGUAUUGAUUAUGUGCACAGAUCCUCAAUACAAUCCCAGGCGUUAGCAGACUUCAUUACCGAUUGGAUGCCAGGGGCUCAAGGAGAAGAAACAACUAAAGAUACCGAAGUAUGGACGGUAUUUUGUGACGGUUCUUGGGGAACCUUCGGGGCAGGAGCAGCUGCUGUGUUAGUUGCACCCUCCAAAGUUAGAACUUGCUACGCAGCAAGACUUGAUUUUAGCUGCACAAAUAAUAUUGCUGAGUACGAAGCUUUGCUUUUGGGCCUUCGGAAGUUAAAGGCAAUGGGGAUUAGAAGGGCGGUUCUUAAAACCGAUUCCCAGGUUAUUUCUAGCCAUAUUGACAAGAGUUGUAAAGCAAGAGACCCGAAGCUUGAGAAAUAUGUAGACACGGUCCGAAGGAUUGAAGCUUCCUUUGAAGGGUUUUCUGUCAAAAACAUUCCUCGAGGAGAAAAUGAACAUGCUGAUUUGCUAGCCAAGUCAGGAGCACAGGGGCUGCCCUUACCUUCGGAAGUAUUUUUUGAAACAAUAAAAACACCUUCGGUUGAACUUCUUGAAAGAGCAGUCCUCAAUAUAUCUCCUGUUCAUAGUGAAUAUUGGAGAACUGAGAUCAUUUCUUUCCUUCAGGGUAAUUUCCUUUCAGAUGACGAAGCUUAUAACAAGAGAAUAGAGGCAAGAGCUCGACCAUAUGUUAUAAUAGAAGCGGAGCUGUACAAGCAUGGAGUCUGUUCUCCAAUACUCAAAUGUUUAUCGAGAGCCGAAGGUAUAGAAUUGAUGAAGGAAAUACACGCAGGCCUGUGUGGAUCUCACAUUGGAUCUAGGCCUUUGUUGGGAAAAGUUUUUCGUCAAGGAUUUUAUUGGCCAAAGGCAGCUUCGGAUGCAGCGGAAUUAGUCCAAAAGUGCGAAGGCUGUCAGAAAUGCGAAAGAGAUCAAAAACAGCCUUCGUCUCUGACUCAGUUAAUACAACCCACUUGGCCAUUGCAAAGGUGGGGCCUUGAUUUGUUAGGCCCGCUACCACCAGCAUAAGGAAAUUUAAAAUAUGUUGUGGUAGCAGUAGAAUAUUUUUCCAACUGGAUUGAGGCGAAGCCUUUAGCCACAAUAACUUCGGUUACCAUUCAGAAAUUUUUCUGGCAGAAUAUCGAUUGUCGCUUCAGAGUGCCGAAGGCCAUUACUGUGGAUAACGGAACACAGUUUGAUGCCGAAGCUUUUAAAGAGUUCUGUGGACAAAUUGGCACGAAGAUCCAUUUUGCAUCGGUUAGGCAUCCAGAGUCAAAUGGACUUGUUGAAAGAGCUAAUGGCAUCAUAAUGAUGGGAAUAAUGAAAUUAAUCUUCAAUCAGCCCAGAGGAAAAUGGCCAGAUGAAUUAAUUAAAGUGGUGUGGAGCCACAAUACAACGACAUCAAGGUCAACAGACUUUACACCAUUCAAGUUAUUAUUUGGUGAUGAAGCAAUAACUCCGAAAGAAGCAAAAGCAGGAUCAAUAAGAACAGUGGCUUCGGCGGAAGACGAAGCUGAUUAUUCUGUGGACAAAGAUGCUAUAGAAGGGAUCAUGCUUCAGGCUGUGGAAAACAUAAACAAAUAUCAAGCCGAAACAAUAAAAUGGCGUGAUAGAAAGGUUCGGCUAAAGAAUAUUAAGCCAGGACAGUUGGUGCUUCGGAGAGUGGCCAACCCAGACACAGUAGGCAAGCUACAGCUGAAGUGGGAAGGACCUUUUCUGGUAAUAUCUUCGUCAAGACCCGGUUCCUACAGAUUGAAGGAUAUGGAUGGCAACGACAUUCCUAGAUCAUGGAAUGCGGAUGAGCUUCAGCGAUAUUAUGUCUAGCUUAAUGUAAUUUUUUCUAUUCUUUUGGCACCCUUUUCCUUUCCAAAGGGGGAGAAAGGUUUUUAAUGGGGCCACAACAUGUAAUUUCUCUGUUUCUUAUUUCAGCUCUAUAAGAGCAAUAUCCCCCAAAGAUGUAAAUGUAAAAGCUGAGAACGCACCAUCGAAUGCAAAGAAAAAAGAAAAGAAAACAGGGAGAAGCUCAAAAGUCGUUCCUAAGGGAAUGCAGAGCUUACAGCGAAAAAUAAAGGCUGAUUCCGCCGAAGUAAAAGGCGAAGAAGCUCCUAAGGGAGGCUUACAUCGAAAAAUAAACGCUGAUUCCGCCGAAGUAAAAGGCGAAGAAGCUCCUAAGGGAGGCUUACAACGAAAAAUAAACGCUGAUUCCGCCGAAGUAAAAGGAGAAGAAGCUCCUAAGGGAGGCUUAUAGCGAAAAGUCAGCGCUGAUACACCGAAAAAUAAACGGUGAAGCCGAAAAAUAAGCGGCAAAGAGAUUUGAGUCAUUCCUAAGGGGAUGAAGGCUAUGAUUAUCGCUUCGAAUAUGUAUUUGGACAUUCAUUUGCACGAUACAUUACAUCAUGACAUUUGCAUUCAUAAACAUUCAUUUAGACAUACAAAGGAUCAUUAUCAUCAUAUGAUACAGAGAAGGCAGAUGCUUCGGCUAUGAGGAUAAAGCUUCGGGGAAAAACAGAAAGAAGAAAUUUUCAUGCUUCGAUGUGUACGAAAAGAAGGGAAGGUGUUUUUCGCCUUCGGCUCAAAAAGAAAAUUUCGUCCACAGCAAAGCAGAUCGUACACGGACAAAGGGGUAAAGAUAUAUUACAAGGUACGCACAAAUUUACAUAAAUUUCUUUACAAUCAUAUUACAAAAUUUUCUCUAGAUUCUUCUGCAGCAAAGUCUUUCGGAACAUCUGUUAAGGCUUCAACUCAUCAUUCUUUAGCUUCAUCAUCCUGUACAUAUUAAAACGGAAUGAGAAAAGCGCAGAGUUCAAGGAGAAGGUAAAAGUAACAAGUAUAAGUUUCUUAUUGGUUUAAGGUGGCUUCGAGCUUCGUCACCAGCCAUUUUUUGCCCGUCGUUUAUCCAAAUUUGAGUCAUAAACCUGUUUCCUAUACUUCGAGCUAGGCUGGGGAUGUCAAUCAAAUCUGCUGGUGACAAACUGAAGUUUGGCCUAUUAACAAUUUUCCUGUGCGUGCAGCCAGUCUUCAAGAAAGCAGUAGUUGUGCCUCGAGAAGCUAGCAGGGCGCAGAAAUCGGCAUGCCCAGCGAUAACUUCGUCAAGCGCAUCAACUUCGCCCUCAAUAUAUUCAAAGGUGCUUGGCAGGUUUUCUACUGAAGCUGUAAACUUAUCAGAGCUGGCUCCAAUUGAGUAAAAGACAUCCUUCAGCCGCUGCACGCAUCGGUUGCCAAAAUCUAAACAUUUAUCCUGAAGCUCCUUCAAUGAUUUCUGCAAAUUUGAACUCUUCUCAAUUUCGGUUUUGAGAUUCGUUUCAAGAUUCUUCUUCUCUUGCUCAGAUUUUUCUGAUUUUAUGAGUAAUUCACUGUUUAAUCUGUCAAUUUCGGCUUGAGCUUCUGCCAGCGAACCCUCCAUAGAGUGGAUGACGAAGUCCUUUUUCUCCAAAGCAGAUUCGUGAUCUUUGACUUUAUUUUCUAGAUCUUUAAUUGUAGCUUCGUUUUUCUCGUCUUCGAGAUCUUGUUGCAUCCUCAGCACUUUACUUAGUAGUAUACUCUGGCAAAACAACCUUCGUCAGAAAACAUCUUAAUUCAAAAAAAUAAUAAAAAGUUAAGAGUUCUACCUUAAAAUUAGCAUAGAAUAUGCUACCGGCGACAUGCUGUCAUCGGUACCUGCAGAGGUCCGCCUCAAUCUUCGGCAUGCCAACACUCUUCGAGAAAGUCCUAACGACCUUUGCCUCGGUUCGAUUCCGAAGGCAUCUCAAUUUCCCUUCAUUGACUCCGCCGAACAGCAAAGCCCCUGGUUUGUACCCACAGGAUACAACAUAUUUCUUCAGUUCUUCUUUUUCAGUUUCUGAUAACUCUUACCCUAGUAUAUCCUGAAAAUUGAAGUUUUCCUCUUCCAAAGUAUCUUCAAUUUGCUUUUUUCCUUUCUCAAUUGUUGUGUCCACCGCGGCCGCAAUAGCUUCUUCCUUAGCCAUUUUUAGAAGCAUGUUAUCAAUAUCACCAAGUGUGGUUUCUAGAUCAAAAUCUUUGGCAGCUUCAGCUUCGGCAGCGCCAGCGCCUUCAGUAAUUGGUAUUUUUGACGCCGAUGCCGGUGGCGGUGUCUGAUGAAUAACAUCGACCACUUGGAUAAUUCUCCGUUUUUUUAGCUUAGCUGGACUUUCCGUUGCCGAAGACUCCUUUUCCUUCUGAAAAAGCUUCGUCAGUUGUGGCGCCAGCGGAUUUAGCUUGAUAGGCAAAGGUUCAGUCAUUACCUUUAGAAUUUCUUCCACAUCGGCAGCAGAAGGCAUCGCAGAAGCUUCUCCCUCUUGGCCCGACGUUUUUGGUUUCGGGGCCGUAGCUUUCCUUUUCUUUGAAGUAGCUAUCUUCGGCUCAGGGCUCAGUUUUCUUUUCUCAAAAAUUUCUUUGUCCUUUUUAGCCAAUUUAGUAGCUUCUUUGUCAAGGACGCUGGCAACUCUUUUUCUUUUCUGGCCUUCGGCACCUCUGCCCAAUUGCUCAUAGUCAGGAUAAUCGAAAUUCAAGGCAUCCAUCACCCGAUUCAUUCUUCGCUUCGGACGAGUACCGAAAGCCGCAGUCAUUAACUGAUCUUCUUUCUUAGAAUAGUUGCCAAGGAUCUCGUUGCACAUAACUUCAAUUGUGUCCAACCACUCUUGGCAAGGUGCUUUAAAAUGUUUUUUAAACUUGUAAUAAUAAGGUAGCCGAACAAGCUCUUUCUUCUUCUUCUCCCCUUUCAGCUUCGGCAUGUCCCAUUCCUUCAAAGUUGGGAAUACUCUGAAGGCUAAGAAUUCUUGGACCAGAUCCCUGGUGCCAAUGUGCUCUGCAACAACCCGAAAUUCGCCCAGUGCAAUCUGGCAUGGACUAUCUGGAUACAUGACGCAUUGGGGCCUAGUUUCUCCGAAGGUUAAACUCAAAGGGCUCUGAACUAGCUUCUUCUCAUCUACUUUGACAUAAAACCAUUCACUCUUCCAGCCAGCUGGCCAUUUCGUACGAUAGCUGAUAACUGGAUAAUUGGCAUCUUUCCGAUAUGCAAAAUUGUAACAGCCGAAAUUGUCAUGCAGCCCAUCUUCUCUAGCUUUUGUCUGGUAAUGAAGCUCGUGUGCCCGGCAAAAACCUUCGGCAAGUGGCUCUGCCUCCUGGCUUCGGAGUGCCCAGAUGUAAACACUAAGCCUAACAAUGGUGUUAGGAGUUAACUGAUGAAGGUGAAUCCCAAAUCUCUCUAAAACAUCUGCAAUCAUCCCAUGCAGGGGAAAUCUUAACCCUGCUUUGAAGAAGCUCUUAAAAACCACCACCUCAUCUUUUUCUGGCUUCGGGGUAACUUCCUCUCCCCCGAAGCGAAUCAGCCCCCUUUUGUCUUCACUAAAAUAGCCUACCUUCAGUAACUUAGCCAUAUCACCUUUGGUAAUAGUAGACUUCCCAAACUCUAAGUGGCUGGGUUUAGAUGGCAUUGCACCGUACUAAUCUUCAAAUUCAUCUUCUUCAACAUCAGCUUGUUUUGCUUCGGCGGCAGAUGUAUCCUCUGAUGUUACCAACCCAGACCGCCUCAUUGCUUCAGAAAUUGGGACAGUUUCACUGGCUUCGGCUUCAUCUCCCUCACGUUCAACCCUGGCAGUGGAACACACUCUAGCCAUUUGAUUGUGAAUUUCUAGAAGUUUUUUUAAAUCAAUAACCUUUUUUCCGAAGCUCUUUUUGUGACGAAGCAGAAUCCGAGGUGGUGCUUCCUUUGAGUGCAAGGGUCAAGCUUCGACUAUGAUUAAAUUCCUAGCAGCAAAACAGUGCAAUAGCAAUGAAUGCUGUGGUAACUUCACACCUACUCGCCUGUUUAUAUAGUGCUGCAGGUAAGAAGGCAAAUCGUCAAGUCUCCUACACCGGACGAACAGUCGCUCGCACCCACUGAACGGUGGGCCACAAAACCCGAGAAGGUGAAUCUGCAUGGUGGGACUACUCCGCGCUCGGAAAUUUUAUCGUUUCCCGGCAACGAGCUCAGGGAAGGUGUUUUUCGGACCUUUGGCUUCCCGAAGCCUAAGAGACUUUUUCACGGAUCAAGCUUGUUACGAAAAACGAUCUAGCACCGCGAAGGGGCUACUGUUGGGGCCAUGCUUCGUCGCCGAAGGUUCUGCAGGAAGAAACACCUUCGGCAAAUCCGUCUAAACGUAGUGCCGAAGCUACCACUCAUGAAGUUUCGGUACUAUAACGUAUCUAAAGACGAAGGUUCGAACCGACUUAAAGAUGAAAUGACUUUUUAGUCCAUAAGGGUCUGAGUCAUAAUUGUAAUCUUUUGUAAGGGGCAUGAUUGUAAUUUCUCACAGGCUGCGUCCUGUGCCUAUAAAUAGAUGAACAAUAUUCCUUUACUGUUCACGCAAUCCUGUAAUCAUCAACGCAUCACACUGGAAUUAUUGUUCUUUGCCAAGUCAAAGGUAUAAAUGUGUCUAAAUAUUAUGUUUUAAUAUUUAAGUUUGUAUAAUAACAUAUAUGCAUAAUAAUAUAUAUGUUUUCGAUAUAAAUUUCUUUAAUGUUUCGUGUUCUAGCAUUGUUUAUAUUAUCUUAUAGAGCUGAUCACGAAGGUAAGACCUUCGUGAUAUUUUGCUUAUGGCCUUCUUCUCUGAAGUUCAUUAUAUCCUAAGGGAAAUAAUGCUUCAGCGGACGAAGGACAUUAACAUUUGCGGCUGCAGAGAGUACACUGUUUGGGAUUGAUAAAAUGCUCUCGGAUAUGGCUGCAGAAGAAACAGUUGCGGCUGCAGAGAAGGUCAUGGCCACAGUGCCUGACAAAGGGAAAAUGAUUGCCAAUGCGGCUUUGGAAGAAAAGGACUUCGACCUUCGAAACCUGGUUGGUCAAGAAUUAUCCGAGGCUGAAAAGAAGGAGCAAUAGGAGUAUGGGAUAUCCUAUGGCUACCAGCCAGGAGCUAUGCUCUUUGGUGGAAUCAACGAAGGAGCCUUAGGAUGCAUUCGCGACCGCGCCAGGGCAAAGAUAAUCGGCACUCUAUCGAAGAGUGUCGAUUUACCGAAGCUUGAAGAUGAUAUCAUCGGCUACCGGCGACAACAUAUCGUCGGCAGUUUGUUUUAUUCCAACUUCAAGGAAAAAUUUUGUUGUCUGAAUUUCUUUUAUUUUUGUGACGAAUCAAGGUUUUCGGAUGUCGGCUUAUUUCUAUAGAGUAUGCUGCUAAGUAAGGCACUGAGAAUGCAACAAGACCUCGAAGACAAGAAGAAUGAAAUCAUAAUCGAGGGCUUGGAAAACAAAAUUAAAGACUACGAAGCUUCUCUUGAGAAGAAAGACUUCCUGCUUCAGACAACGGAGGGUUCCCUCGUGGAACUUCAAACUGAAAAUGCCAGAUUAAACGAGGAGCUUCUCUAGGCUCAAGAAACUUUAAAGAAAAAUUCAGAAUGCUUCGAGCAAUAGAAACAAGAACUGCAAACAAAAUGUAAAGCCGAAGCUGAUAAAAAUGCGAAGUUGCAGGAGUCUUUGAAAGAGCUUCAGAAUAAAUGCCUGGGAUUUGGUAGUCGUUGCGUGCAACGGUUGAAAAAGGUCUUCAACUUGGUUGGGGCCAGCUCCGAAGACAUUACCUCUUUAGUUGAAGACAUACCAAACACCUUCGAACAUAUUGUAAAUGAAGUUGAGGCGCUUGAUGAAGUGAUACAUGGGCACAGUGACUUCUCUGCCUUGCUAGCUUCUCGCGGCACAGCUGCAGCAUUUAUGAAGGCUGGUUGCAUGCACGCAAAACGGUAAAUAGACCAACCUUCAGUCUGUCUCCAACAGAUUUGGUUGAUAUCCCCAGUGAAUCUCGGAGCAUCGGGAACAGGUUUAUAACUCAGAUUUGGGCUAAGGGUGGACGAGAGUUGGCUGGUGACGAAGCCCAAAACUUGCUUAAGCCGGUAUAGAACUUAUACCUGUUGCUUGCUUUAUGUCUUGUAAUUUUUCUUUUUUACCUUAUACCGUUUGUUUAUCUGCAGGAUAGUGGUGCCGAAGAUUGAUAAUCCGAAGCACGUUCCGAAGGCUGUUGAAGCUUCUCUUUAGGCCUGCCUGUGUAGAGCUUAGUAACAUUUGUAUUAACUUUGUAGAAAAAACUGUAAUCGAGGAUUGAACAAUGCUAUGUAUAACUGUCCAUACCUUGUAAUAUAUUUUUACCUUUUCAUCCAUGUACAAGUUGCUUUGCUGUGGACGAAACUUGUAUUGUUUGAGCCGAAGGCGAAAAACACCUUCUUUUCUUUUCGUACACAACGAAGCAUGCUGUUGUGUCACAUGUAUACGUUUGAAACGAAGCUUCUUUGUGUUCAUCAAAGCACUAUCAUUGAAGAUGGAGUAUUUCUGUUCGUGCUUCAUGUUAUGAUGAUGAUGAUCCUACAAAUGUCUAAAUGAAUGUGUAUGAAUGCAAUGAAUGAUGUAAUGUAAUGUGCAAAUGAAUGUCCCGAACACACACGAAGGCACACCCAGACUCUGCAUCCCCUUAGGAACGACUUUGGAGUCUUUAAGCUUUGCAUCCCUUUAGGAACGACUUUGGAGCUUCUUCACCUUAUAUUUUGGUGGCAUUUAAGCUCUGCAUCCCCUUAGGAACGACUUUGGAGCUUCUUCACCUUCUAUUUCAGUGGUAUUUGGUUCUGCAUUCCCUUAGGAACGACUUCUAAGCUUCGGAACUUACGCUACGCUCCCUUAGGAACGACUUUUUGUAGCUUCGUCAUGCUCUGCAUCCCCUUAGGGACGUCAUUCGAGCUUCUCCCUGUUUUCUUUUUGCUCUCGAUGGUGCAAGCUCUGAUUUUACAUAUUACAUCUUUGGGGGAUUUUGGCCCUUUUAUUGCGUAGGGCUAAAUAAGAAUGAAAAAAUUACAAGCUAUGGCCCCAUUAAAAACCUUUCUCCCCUCCUGAAAGGAAAAGGGUGCUGUUGGGGACUUGUUCUCAAAUGCUAUGAGUUAAGAACAAGGCAACACAAAAUGUUAAAUGUUAAUGUCCUUUGUCCUUCGAAGCAUUACUUCACUUAGGAUAUAAUGAUCUUCAGACGAAGGUUAUGAAAGACAUACCUUCAUCAAUGCGACAUACGUUAAUAUAAGUAGAAGUAUAUGAAAUAUAAGAGACAACAUAAACAAUCAUAUAACAUUAUUAAUUCAUUCUCAUUAUAUUAUUCUGGAAAGACAGAAACAAUAUUGAAUUACAAAAGGUACCUUCGGCUUGAUAGAAGGUAAAAAUACAAGCGUGACGCAAAAGCGAAUACAAGUCAGCGUGAACAGUACGGGGGUACUGUUCAUUUAUUUAUAGGCACAGGACGCAGCCUGUGAGAAAUUACAUUCAUGCCCUUUACAUUUAUUAUUGACUUAUGGACAACUCUAUGAGGACUAGAUAGCCUUUUCCCCUUUAAGUCGGUUCCUUUUUCGCCAUUUAGCCGAAGCUCCCCUGCGCGUAGCUUCGGAGCAACUCCAACCUUCGUCACGAUCAUGUUUUUUACAUCGUACAUGCUUUUAGCCCGACUCCGAAGGUACCUGUUCAUAUGUCACACUUGGAAGAUAUUGUUAAAUCACGUUUUUGAGGACCUUCGGAGGACGAAGACUCCCAAAAGUAGCCCCUCGCAGUAUUAAUUUGUUUAAGAUAACGAAUUCAGACUGCGACAUGGACGAAGGCCUUAAGCCGAAGGUCCGAAAAAACACCUUCCCUUUGCUAGAAUAGCAACAGUCAAUGACGGACGGGCCCCCCCAAUUUGGAGCGUGCUGAGCGUAUAAAUAAGAACUCACACCAGCUAUAUUUGAUACGUUGCUUGUGCCAUUUGCUUUACUUCCUCAAUUUCAUAGCUCUUGCUCACUAACGCUUGCUAGUUUUUCAAGAUUUCUAAGCUUCGGUUAAAAAGACGCAUUUUCGUCAUUUCUGAAGGAGAAAUGUCUCAAGACAAGAAGGUUGCUGCUGAGACGAAGCUGACUGAAGAGGAGAAGCUUUUUGAGGAGAAGAAGGCUGUGAAUCUUUACAUUGCUGGAUUUAUCGAGUCAAUGGCAAAAACAAAUACAGAGAAGAUUACUAAGGAGAUACUGGAGGGCCUGUCUGAAGAUACUGGUGACAGUGAUAGUUAUGAUGCGGAAAGUGGGGGCGAAGAUUCGAAGGAUCGGCCUUGGAGACCAAGUCACUCGAUUUUCGGAAAAUCGACCAUCAAACAAAGUCAUCUUGAGAACAUGAGAGGAAGAUACUUUCGGGAUAUGUCUAUUGUAAGGGCUGGUGGAGACAACAAUGUCAUGGCCCCCAAGGAAAACGAAGUUGUGAUUUACCGAAGCUUCUUCAAAGCUGGGCUUCGGUUCCCACUGAGCAGGUUUGUAGUUGAAGUGCUGAAAACCUACCAAAUCUUCCUUCAUCAGAUGACCCCCGAAGCCAUAUUGAGGAUGGGAGUCUUCAUGUGGGCAGUAAGAAGCCAAGGGAUAGAGCCAAGCGCGAAGUGCUUCUACCGCAUGCACGAACUUCUGUAUGAGACGAAGGCCAUGGGUAAAGAACAGUAUCACAACAACUUCGGUUGUUAUGGAUUUAUCGCCCGUCCCAACGCAAGCCACCCAGUGCCAACAUUUCGGAAGAGAUGGCCCGGAACUUGGAUGAAAGAAUGGUUUUAUGUGAAGAACGACUUGACGGCGAUGGAGGAUAUCCAGGAGGUUAUCAUGCGCCCCAUAUGGUCCCGCUUCGAUCUCCGAAAGCCGAAGGUUGAAAUUGAUGACGUCACCGAAGCGUGUCAGAAGGCGUUUGGUACUGUUUGCUUCUUCAUUGGUACAAGAGAUUUAAUUCAAGAGCAUAUAGCAUUCAGAGUAUGGCCGCUUGUAGAGAGCUGGGAAAUGCCGAAGGAGACCAUCACCAAGUCUAGCGAAGGUGAACUGGUCCGGCUGAAGUAUACAUUCAGGUAUGGGGAUAAGUUCGACGAACCAAACGAUGACUGGAUAAAAUGCAUCGAAGUUACAAAUUAUGAGUUGCUUGGAGCCUAUUCCAAGGCAGAAGAUAAUGCGCUAUCUACAGCCUUUGGAGGUCGGGGAAAAAAGAGAAUAAACAGAGUUUUUGACGCCAUCGGCUUUGUCUACCUCGACUACCACUACCCGCUGUGGGGACAGGGGAAGAAGAGAAAAGCUGCUGCUUUGGCCGCCCUAGCUGAACCUGUGCCGAAGGCUGCAGGCAAAAAGAUGAAGGUACUUACCCAUCGGCCGCGUUACAUUGAACCGGCUGUGGUGCCUGAGUUUGGCGGGGAGGCCUCUUUAGCUACUGAGUAAAGAGAAAUUGUUCCUCCCAUGCAGAGGACUGAAGAGCCAGCUAUAAUGCCGAAGGCACCUUCGGUUGAGCUAGUUGAAACGAAGGUUGACAAAGAUAAGGCUGAAAGGUCAAAAAUGGAAGAAGUAACAAAGAUGCCAGGGAUUUUAAGUCCUUCAACAGAAGCAACAACGCUGAAGGCACAAAAGAGUUCUGCCACAACUCCUAAGAGAAGGAGGAUGGUAAAUAUAUUAGAUGUAUUGGAAACAACCGACUCCAUAAGUCUUGCUCCCACAGGGAAGGUUGCCAAAGCUGACAAAACGCAACCCCAAGCUGAUACUAAGCAAAUAGAAGUUGAAGCUACAAUAACCCAGGCUGAAACUGAGGCAGGUCCCACAGUGCCUGCUGAGACGAAGCUUGCCACAACCGAGCAGGGGGGCGAAGGAAUAACUCCAGAUACUAAUAAAGCUUUUGAGAAAAGUGUGGCCAAAGAAGCCGAACCCUUGCUACCGAAGCACUCUCCGAAGAUUUUGAUUAUAUCAUUCGACAUGCUGGGGGAAAAAGAUUAUCCGAAGAAGAAAUUUUUGAAGCCAAACACUAUGCCCGGGAACUGAAGUAUCCGAAGGGGCCUUAGUAUUUAACAGUACGGACGAAGAUGAUUUCUUGUACUGUCUCCCGGACAACAAAGAAUUAUCCGUCUGCCGGGAGAUGGCCAGAAGUAUGGGUUUCCCGAAGCUCAAAGCUGGCCUUUGCGCCAUGAUGAAGGCCGAUCUCGCGGAUAGUCUUACAUACAACAGUCUGAAGGUACAUAAAUUGUGAAUUUUGAAGCUUAUGAACUCUGGAAUGAAGUCUUUUAUUCUCAUGUUAAUCCUUUUAUUCUUUCUUGCAGGGCUUAAUACUUAGCAACGCUCUAAGGGCGCAAAAGAAUGUUGAAGACGAGAGCUGCACUAUAGCUCUCAACAACCUUCGAACAGAGGUUAUCAGGCUGAGAAACGAAGCCACGGAAAAAGACAAAAUUCUACUUUCAUUGGUGGAUAAAGUAAAAGAAGAUGAAGCUAGUUUCAAGGCUCAAGCUGAAAUUCAAAAGAAUGAGAUCGAAGAUCUUCGGAAAUAGCUGGCCGAAACCAAAGAAAAAUGUGGUCUCGUAGAGGCCAACCAAGAUAUUAGUGAAUAUUGGAAAAACUAUUUAGAAAAAACAGUUGAAGAACUUCGCGCAUCCAAAGAAAGAUGCUUUGAAAAAUCCCUGGGCUGCAUGGAGAAGAUAAAGGCUAGCUUCGCCAACGUGGGCGCCUAUUCUAACGAAGAUAACUUUAUACGAGGCAACCCUGAAGGUGUUAUCGAAUGGAUAAGCGGAGAGGCCGAAGCUUUUGAAGAAAUUUUAAGUGAUCGCAGGGAUGUCUGCGCGUUCUCCGGUGCAAGAGGAAUUUCAGCCAUCCUGGAGAAGGUGGGUUGCGAUCAUGUCAAAACCUUGACCCAGGCCGAAGCUGCCUUCUCCGUGGAUGAUACAAAAGAUCCCUCAGCCGAAGCAAGUUUGAUGGGUGGAAAAUUUUACACUGACAUCUGGGCAAAUGGUGGCCGAGAAAUGGCUCACGAAAUUAUGAGGAAAAGUGAAAAAGAUAUUCAUGACGCUCGAGAAGCAGCGAAAAAAGCUAAGGAAGCUGCAGAACGCGAGAGACGGAUAUGUAUUGUUUUGUGGCCUUUAGCUUUAGCGUUUGUUUUCGUGACUCCGAACUGAUUAAUUUUUUCUACUGCAGCUGAGCUAUCUCCUCCACCAGAACCGUUUGACCCCCUGGCCGACCCAGAAACGAAGAAAGCAAUAGAGAUCAUCAAUAUGGUUGAAUCUAUUGUUGACGAAGUUGUUAACAAGUUGUUAAAUGAAGUUGCGGAGAAGGUCCUGAAAGAGGACUAGUACUCAUUGUAAAAACAUUUGUAGAUGAUCAAUGUAACUUUUGCUGUAAUAAUACUAUAAUAUUUGAUGCGCAUAUUUUUGAAUCUAAUAUGUAAAUUAUUUGUAAUUUAGCUCUUUGCGAUGCAUGAAACUUUAUAUACGUACCGUACCGUUUUUGAGCCUCCGGCGAAAAAACACCUUUCCUUCUUUUCAUGCUUCGUAAAGAAAAAGAUUCGUGCUUCGUGAAAAUAUCCAUGCUUCGUAAAACAACCAUGCUUCGUAGAAAUUUCCAUGCUUCGUAAAAACAACCAUGCUUCGUAGAAAUUUCCAACCUUCGUAAAAACAUCCAUGCUUCAUAAACAAGGAAUCCCUUCUUUUGCAACAGAGCUGACGAAGCUGUAUUUUUUGACUUUGUGCCUUGGCAUAUUUUCAUUUUUACAAAGCAUUCUCCGAAGAUCGACUUCGUAGUCAAUUCAUGUCAUAGGUGCGAUAUGAUGUAUGAUGUGAUGCUAUGCAAGAUGAUGUGAUGAUAUGAUGCAAAGAAUGAUGCCAAUGCCGAAGACUCACACCCACACGCCCACACUGAAACACACAAUCUCUGCGUCCCCUUAGGAACGAUCGAAAUCUCUUUGUCGUUUAUUUUUCGGCUUCACUGCUUAUUUUUCGGUGUAAGUUCUGCAUUCCCUUAGGAACGUCUUUUGAACUUCUCCGCCUUCUAUUUCGGCGGUAUAAGUUCUGCACCCCCUUAGGAAUGUCUUUUGAACUUCUUCACCUUAUAUUUCAGCAGUAUUUGGCUCUGCAUUCCCUUAGGAACGACUUUUGAGCAGAAAACUUACACUGCGCUCCCUUAGGAACGACGUUUUGUAGCUUCGACGAAACUUACGCUGCGCUCCUUUAGGAACGGCUUUUUGUAGCUUCGACGAAACUUUGGCUACGAUUUUUAGCUCUGCAUUCCCUUAGGAACGACUUUUGAGCUUCACUAAUUUUUUAGCUUCGUAAUUAUUUUGAAGAAGAUAUAUUUCAUUCUGAUAAAAGUGAAACUAUUACAAGAAAUUAAAACUAAAUUUACAUUACUUGUUCCUUAUUGAAAAACAAAAUUACAUAGAAGAUAAAAGUAUUUCGAGGGUAGGAUAUCGCUCAAUAAAUGUGCUUUGAUUCUGGCACAUUACUGUUGACUGUGCGAGCUUCCGAUUCCUCCCUGAGCUCCCAUUGUUGCUGGGUGUACUGGCGCCCUUCUAGCUGCUGGCUUCGAGAGUAUGUCGGUUGUAGUGGUGGUGGGGGUGGGAGUUGUGGCCAGGAGGCCAGUGAAUAGCUAGCCAAAGCAACAGAAGCUGCAGGAUGAUUACCCACAUAUUCUGGUAUGUAGGGAGAGUGGCACGAAGUAGUGUGCAAGACCUGCUUCGGCUGAUUCUGCCUAGUUUCGGCUUUGGCGAUCUCCUUCUGCUUCUGAAUGGUGAUUCGACAUAUUCUUGUAGUGUGGCCCUUGUCCUCACCACAAAAUAAGCAAUAAAUCUUCCUGGGCUGAUCCCCAUAUCUUCCUCCGAAGCCCCUGGCGCCUCUGUCCCUUGGAGCUAGCGGCCUGAAGGAGCUUUGCUGUUGCCUCGAAGAUUGUGAGGUGUACUGUGACCUCUGGGGCUGGCUUCCCUUGUCAUCGCUCUGGCUGGAGCUCUGGAUCGACCUGACAUGCCUUGGAUGAAUUCGUCCUCCGAAGCCCCUGGUCAUCUCAGAGAAUUUGUAAGCUUCCUCCCUUCUUUGGCGGAAGUCAUUAUCAGCCCGGAUGUACUCAUCCAUCUUUUGAAGCAACUUCUCCAGAGUCUGUGGGGGUUUUCUAGUGAAAUAUUGAGCAGUAGGUCCUGGCCGAAGACCCUUGAUCAUGGCCUCAAUGACAAUCUCAUUGGUCACUGUAGGCGCUUGUGCCCUCAGUCGCAAGAACCUUCGGACAUACGCCUGGAGGUAUUCCUCAUGGUCUUGCGUGCAUUGGAACAAGGCCUGAGCUGUGACUGGCUUCGUCUGAAAGCCUUGGAAACUCGUCACCAGCAUGUCCUUAAGCUUCUGCCACGACGUGAUAGUCCCUGGCCGAAGAGAAGAAUACCAUGUUUGGGCUACAUUCCGGACUGCCAUGACGAAGGACUUCGCCAUGACUGCAGUAUAGCCCGCAUACGAAGAUAUAGUUGCUUCGUAGCUCAUAAUAAACUGCUUUGGAUCUGAGUGCCCAUCAUACAUGGGAAGCUGAGAUGGCUUGUAUGACGGGGGCCAUGGGAUAGCCUGCAGCUGUGACACCCCAGUGUCACCUAGGGUUUCUCUCAAAUGCCAAACCAAGAACCCUUAUUUCAUGAGAACCAAAGUAAGCAUGAGCAUCAAAUUAACUAAAGUAAUAAAGGAUUCACCAAGUAUAUACUUAAAAGUAUCAUGAUCAAAACAAUUAAGUCUUUUAAAAAGGUAAGAAUGUGCAACCCUAAUAAAAACCCUAAGUGAGCCCCAUGAGCAAAAUUAAAGAAAAUAAGGAAAAGGGUAUGAAAGAUUUGAAAUUGUGACUUGAGCCAAUUAUAAAAAUUGAAGUAUAUUUAAUGAGCAACAAGAAAGGUUGAGAAAGCUUGGCCAAAAUAACUCAAAUAAAACCCCAAAUCAAGCUUCUCAUGUGGGGACUUAAUGGGAAUUCUGAAUUUCAGAAUUCUGAAAUUCAGACCUUGAGCCAAAGAUCAGGGAUGUUCACCUUGAUCCCUAACUCGAAUCCUAAUGGCCCCAUUAACAAAAUUGUGUCUAACUAACCCCUCUGUCGUGUGCCAGAAGAUGGCAUUGGGACGUGAGCUCUAGACACGACAAAACCUUGGAUUUGCCUCGGGUUUGAGCAGGGAGAGACAGACCGGAAUUCCUGGCUCCAUAUCUCUGCAACCAGUAGGCAAAAUCCUAUGACCCCCACAGAAGAUCGGUAGCUUGUAGGGAGGAGAAGAGGUUUUGUGCACUGACCAAGGCGAGAGCAGGCUCGGAUGAGCGACCACACGCGCCAGAACUUGGGCAGAACGCACGGGCACACGUGUUCGACCCUGGUCGGCACGCCAGAGCUCGCCCAACCCGCGCGCGCGCUUGCCCCGGCGUCCGGUCAAGUCCGCCGCGCACCCAUGCCCUCGGCCGUGCCCGCCCGCGCCUAUAAAGCCUCCUCGGGAGCACCUCACUUCGCCCCGCACUCAUCUUCACCGGCCGACCACUUUCCCUUAGCUCCGACGAGCUUAAUUCCGCCCGCCAUUGCCGCCAGAGCUUUGGCCACCGUGGCCAGCCCACUCCAGCCACCCUCGUGUCGAGCCAGUUCUUCGGCUAGCUCCGCCAGUGGCCCGUGAAGCUUGCCAAGCCCUCGGACCAGGCCGGACUUCACCGGAGGCCCAAGAUCGACCUCACCGGACUUCGGUCUUCCGCCGCCGCGCGUGGACCGAGCUAUCCAGUGAGUCUCCGACCAAUUUCUUGCGCUCAUAUCUUCUCUGGCAUCCCGUGAACCUCUCUGACCCAUCCAAUUGAACUAUCUCGCCGUGAGCAGGCCGGACUCCAAGCCGCCGACGAGCAUCCCUGCCUGCGUGCGUGGACCGACCGACUCCGGCCAUCUCUGACGGCGACCCGCACACCGUUGUGAUCCCCGAGACCUCCCCUACGUCCUCGACCACUUCACCGGAGCAAUCUCGCCGCCGGUAAGCCCCUCCGCCCUUUCUUCCGCCGCGGUCAUUGUUUAAGUUAGGAGAAGGACCUCGGGUUAGGAUUUGAAGAACCCGAGGGGUUUUCUGUAACGUCAGUGACUCAUGUGAAUAGUAGCCUAAGGACUGAUCCGCGAAGAAAACUUAGAAAACCCGCCAGGGACCCCAGUGCAAAGUGGAUUUCCAUUUAAUCAAUUCUGUUAAUCUUUUUUUAUGACCAGAGAACUUAGAAAAUCCAUAACUUAAUGAAAUCUUAAUAAAAAGUUGUCAAACUAAUUUUGCUAGAUUUUGAAUAUUAUGGACUGUCAUUUAAAAAUGGUGAACCCUAUGCUUUCUGUUCUGAAUUUUAGAGUUUAAAAUUAAAAACAGAAACCUACCAAACCUUGUUUAAUUAAGGAAAAUUAGUUUUUCUUCUGUACUGAACCUAAGAAAAUUUGUAGAUGUUCAAACCUCACUUAAGCACUGUUUAAAAAUAGUAGGAACCCCAGCAUUGAAGAAUAUAGUGUAGAUAUUCAUGUAAAGCUAUUUUACCCAAAACUUAGGAAAAAUCAGAAAGGCAUUAGAAAUUAAUGAAUAGAGAGUAAAAUUAUUUUUCCUAGUUUGCUUAAGUAACAGAGAACCUAGGAAAAAUAAAGAGACCAUUAGUUCAGACCAGUUUUAAAUUAAAAUAUUUUAUUUAGCCUUAUUUGGACUGAAAAUCAAUUAUUAGAGAUACAAAACUAUACCCAAAAUGGAUAAUAAAAAUCCAGUGGACUUACAACCACCAGAGCCCCACUACAAAAAUAGAGAACACCUCAGCCAACUUUUUAAGUAAGGAAAAUAAAUAUAAAAUGCUAAUGAGGCAUUUUCCAAAUAAAUCAUGAACAACCCCUAAUAAUGUGAUAAUGGGCAACCAAAAAUUUUCUAAGUCCAUAAUGAGAUAAACCACCUGAGAAAAAUGCAAACCCAUGAAAAAGGAGCAAACUCAGACCUAUUGCUAGUAUUUUAUAAGAAAGGCCACUUAAUUCAAAUAAUGCAUACCACCCCUUCCCUUAAGCAAAAAGAGGCCAAACUUCAGAAUGAUUGCUCUUGCACAAAACAAUAACUAAGAAAAAUGAGAACUUUGUUGUUUGAUAUUUUUCAAAUAUAGUGGUAGUAGAAAGCACCUACUUGGCUAGAAACUUGAGAAAACCAUAGAAACAUAAUUAAAAGGUAUUAAUGACUAGAAAUUUGUAUCAAGUCAUGUUAUAACACCUAAAAGAAUUCAGUGGAACCCCAAAAAUAAACCUACCACUUACCUUAGCUAAGUUUGACCCAAUUUACCAAGUAUACCACCCAAGGGACUUACAUAAGCAAAGUUAACCUUGUUUAACUCAAAGAAGAUCAUACACCUUUAAGUUGUAAUUUCUAAUAGCACAUAUCAUAUCAUGCAUAUAUCUUACGCAUUGCAUUUAUUAGAUUGUAAUCUUGCCGACGGAGAGUACGUGCUCAUCCCCGAGCAAGGACCUGUCCAAGAGGAAGACCAGGAGCAGGCUUCAGAGGCUGCUAUUGAGGAUCUCCCCGCAGCCCCAGCAAUUGAAGGCAAGCCCCAGUUUUAUGCAUAACCGUAUUAUUAUAUGCUACUUUACUACACUUAAUGCUUGUAGGAUUGCAAUGUGCACUUAAGUGUAGGAGUUGCUUGAAACCUCUAGUUGCAUGAACUUAGGAUUCCUUUUUGAGAUGAAUACUAGUAUGCUAGGUUGAGUAGCUGCUUGCUAAUCAGGAUCUCAGUAGAAGUCGAGUGAUUUUUCUAGCACUCGCGCGAGGUCGGGAAUUGAUUGUAUUCACCUUGAUAACGGGAUAUAUGUUAGUCUAUGGACUUGGAUCCAGGGAGGAUGCCUUGUCCAUGAGACGGGAAAAAGGAAUUAAGGAUUAAUGUGUGGAUACCUGAGUCAAGCUUUUGAACGUACUAAGCACAUGCCGGGAAAAAUGGUAACCGGUAAACCUAGUACCUGAUUGAAGCCGGGCGCGGACUUUAUCCCUCGUGCGACCUGAGACUGGGUCUCCCAUGCUAGCUAUGGUGGAUACAAGUGCGGUCACUGCACGACGGCAUCCGGGGUCAGUGGAGCAUUGUAUGCCAAGGCGGUGAGGCCUGGACGCGAACAGGGAAUCGAUGGGGACGGUUGACAUGUGUGGGGACGGAGUGCCCUGACAUGUCGUGUGUUUAGGUUUACCUUGCAAGGUUAAAACUCGAUUCGAAUCGUCUGCUUCUCGCAGCUAAUGAGACUGCUUGACCCCUUGUACUGCAUCGAGUAAGAAGUGAAAUGUGGUUACAUGAGAUAACUUAUUGAUUGAACUAAAUGAUUGUUACCAUGUAUGCUUAGAAGGAGCAAAUCUAGCUAAGUUAAUGAGGAUAGAAUUGGAAAAGCUAAAAACUGAUUUAGAAACAGCUAGUGCUUUUGGAAAACCAAACCCCUCAGCCAAACAGCUGCAUAGUCUAGAGGUAGAGGAGUAGACUCCUCACACCAGUUAAGUCUAGCUGAGUAUUAGUAUACUCAGCCUUGCUUGUGGCACAAUUUUUGUAGGUACCAUUCAGGAAAUGGUUGAUGGUGUGACUUGGCCUACCACCCUGCCACCGGGUUGGACGGUCGAGUGGGAUGUUGCUCCGGCAGGAGAGGAGCACGAGGAGUAGUGGGCUAGGCCUUGCCCAAUUCCUCGAUACCGACGACAUCGAUUAUCCACUGCACUUUAUUUUGUGAACUUUAUUUGCUACUCAAGAACUCUGAUUUAUGUAAUAACUCAGUACUUAAUUUGAGGUUUACUGUUUUAUUGUAUUUCUUCUGUGACUCACCUUCGAGUGAGAUUGUGGAAUUUGAUCCUGGUUAAGUGGCUCUAUCAGACUAGAUCUGAAGGACUGACGGGUUAUUCCGAUUUAAGUUGGAAUAAUUCGGGUGGUUCUUAGGCACUUAAGCUGGAAUAAUUCGGGUGGUUCUGCCACAGCUGGUAUCGGAGCAAAUUCCACCACAGAGAAGGACAAUAAACCAUGAAUACCAAUUUUCAAAAUCUAAAACUUGCCUAGAAACUGCUAUGGAUCGUCAAGACUAGACCGCUAGACCUAGGACGAAAGGCCUUAGGCAUAGAGGGAGAAAUAGGUGGCUAAUUAAUUAGGCCCCGUGGGCUAGUACUUAUAUUUUUAAGGAUGCCCUAAAAAGCACCCUAUUUUCUUUUGAGAGGCAACGUUUCUUCCAGCAUGCAUGCAUUAUAAAACACAAAGAGGAAUUAAAACUUGAGCUAACCCACUUUCUUAGAACCAUUCGGGCUCUCUUUUUCUUUUUCCUUCCACCAUAAUCUUUACCUUUGAUUCCCUUCCACAGAUGAAUUCACCCACCCUCGCUAGUGGAGGAGACUCUCGUUUCAGUUCUGACUUCCUUUCUCGCGAUGGCUUUCCUCCCAUCUUGUGGGAAGUGCUUAACUCCGCCGGUUACCCUACGCCCCCUUUGUACACGGUGCAGUUGUAUGAGGAGCAUCGGGUACCUUGUUGUCGGGUCUGGCUGACUUUGGAGGCUCAUCCCCUUCAGCCGGGUUGGCGUUCUCUUGAUUCUAAGACGAUUGGACUCAGGACGGACGACACCGUUGAAGCGGCAGCCAUGAAGACUCUGAAGACUUUCUGUGGCUACCAUCUCCUAGAGAUGGUGAUGCACCCCUUGGGACUCUUCCCUGCUGAGAAGAAGGAUGAUCCCAUGUGGUGCAACCGCGUGAGCCAUGUAAAGGAUGUGUGGGCAAUGUAUCCUGACUUGGUUGGGAGGGUCACUGUUCAGUGCAUGAUUGCGCUGUACCGCCUUCAGGCCCUUCAGAGCGAUGCUAUGGCACUCCUUGCUAACACCGCUCAGACUGCCAAGCUCACUCUCUACAGUCGGGAAGAUUUUGUGGUCGACCUAUCCACCGAGUUGGUGGAGAAGGAUCUACAGGUAGAGAGGCUGAGCCAGCGCAUCACCACCUUGGAGCAGCAGGUGGAGAUCCGAGACAACACUAUUGAUGUCUUGGAGAAUCAGCUUCACGAUGUGCAGAGGGAACUCGAGGAAGCGAAUGACCACUUGGACAUGCACCACCUGGAGAUGGAGGCCAAUGAAGCAGGAAGCGAGGGAGAAGAGGCUCCCGAGGAGCUAGGACCAGCCCCAGGUGCCAAUGGGACUACCUCUGCGAUGCCUCCUUCACCCGUAUCCAGUGUCGCUUCCACCGCUCAGGGAUAAGCAGUCGCUUCGACACUUUUAGGCGGAUAGAAACCUAUGCGAGCUUAGUAGUUUCAGAUUUUGGACUAGGCUUAUGGGUACUUUCCCCUGAUUGAUGUAACCCUGUGAGCUUUUGCAAUCUGUGGGAUAUUGGUCACCAUGUUAUCUUCAUUUCGGACUUAAUAUUAUGAAUAUGGCAUUUUUCCUUCCAUAUGAGAUGAUAUCUUGUCGUUCGAACUAUGAGUUGGGAUAACAAUGGCGACAAUCUCUGUUUUUAGAUGGCAGCUAGGCAGCGUCGCGGGCAUAACGAGCAGGUUCCCCCGCCACCUCCUCCAGCUCCCACAGUGUAGGAGCUGAUGGCCCAGCAGAAUGAGAUUUUGCGACAACUCUUGCAGCGCCAGCCCCACCCUCAGCAGCAUGGUGGAGUCCAGCAUCAGCGACCUCCGGCUAUGGCAACUUACCAGGAGUUUCUGAGCACGCAGCCACCCUUGUUCACCAAGGCAGAGGAUCUGUUGGACGCCGACGUAUGGCUUCGCGUCGUCGAGUCCAAGUUUCCCCUCGUCACAGGAGACUGCCCUGAUGAGGCCAAGGCUCGCUUUGCCGCACAGCAGCUUCGCGGCCCUGCUCGGACUUGGUGGGACCACUUCCGUGCUAUGCUCCCCGCUGAUCGGGAAGUAUCUUGGGAGGAAUUCAAGACUGCCUUCAGAGGACACCACAUCCCAGCUGGCAUUCUUGAUCGGAAGUUAAAUGAAUUUCUGGCCCUUAAUCAAGGAACCCGCACGGUACUGCAGUAUGCGCAAGCCUUCAACGACUUAUGCCAGUAUGCAGGGUAUCAUGCUGAUUCUGAUGAAAAGAAGAGGGAUCGCUUCCGCAGGGGUCUCAAUACCAAGCUGCGGGAACGACUCAACAUUGUCCGGGCUGAUAGCUUCAAUGAGUUGGUCAACAUGGCCAUCUCCCAGGAGGAUUGCAUUGUUGCUCACCGGGCAGAGAAGAAGAGAAAGGCACCAAUGGCAGCACCAUCCGCUCAGGCUCAGAGGUUCCGGAUUGUUUCUCACAAUCAGAGCAGGGAUUUUCAGCAGCAGGCAGGCAGAUGGGUGAUCAGGCCACCUCAGCAGCAGCAGCCGGCACCCAACCGCUUCCCCGCUCCCGCCCCAAGGAACAAUCAGCCUCCGCAGCAGCAGCAGUUCCGCCAGGGCAAUGGGAACAAGUGUUUCACUUGUGGUAAUGUGGGCCACUAUGCCAAGAAUUGUCCCAAGAACCAGCAGAGGCAGAUGCCAGCACCAAAUCAAGACAAGGGAAGAAAGCAGAAGGUGCAAGUCAGGCAAGGGAAGGUCAACUUCACUACUCUGGAGGAAGUACCUGAAGGAGCUCCUAUCAUGACCGGUAUCUUUUUAGUUUAUAAUCAACCUGCUUUAAUUCUGUUUGAUUCUGGUGCAUCUCAUAGUUUCAUUAGCCAAAAGUUCAGUGCUAAAUGUAAACUGCCAUUCUCUCACUCAAAAGGGUCAUUCAUGAUAGUCACACCUGGGGUAAAAUUGCAACUAAUCAAUUAAACCAAAGUGUGCCUAUUCAACUGGGAAGCCACAUUGUCAAAACCACUCUUCUUGUGCUGGGAUUGGAGAAUGUGGACAUUAUCCUAGGAGCAAAUUGGAUGACCUUGCACCAAGUUGUGCUUGAUGUAGCCAGUCGUACCGUGGAAGUAAAUUCUCCGUUCCGCGGGAAUUUCACUUUAAUUCUGCCUAGUCAGGGUUCUACUCAGUCAUGUGCUUUCUCUAUGACGGAGUUACCUCUGAAGAAGAUCCCAGUGGUCUGCGAUUAUGCAGAUGUCUUCCCUGACGAAUUGCCGGGAAUGCCACCAGACCGGGAUAUUGAAUUUGCCAUCGAGUUGCAACCGGGAACGGCCCCAAUUUCCAAGAGGCCCUACCGAAUGCCACCCGCUGAGUUGGCAGAAUUGAAGAAGCAAUUGCAAGAGUGGCUGGAUAAGGGAUUUAUUCGCCCAAGCACUUCGCCUUGGGGAUGUCCAGCACUGUUUGUAAAGAAGAAGGAUGAAAGCUUGAGGCUAUGUAUAGAUUACCGCCCUCUUAAUGCGGUAACUAUCAAGAACAAGUAUCCUUUGCCUCGUAUUGAUGUUCUCUUUGACCAGUUGGUCGGGGCUAAGGUAUUUUCCAAGAUAGACCUUCGCUCUUGCUACCAUCAGAUCAAGAUACGAGCGAGUGAUAUUCCGAAGACGGCAUUCUCAACCAGAUAUGGGCUAUAUGAAUUCUUGGUGAUGUCAUUCGGGCUGACAAAUGCACCAGCAUAUUUCAUGUAUCUGAUGAAUUCUGUUUUCAUGCCGGAAUUGGACAAGUUCGUGGUGGUUUUCAUCGAUGACAUUUUGGUGUACUCAAAGAACGAAGAAGAACAUGCCGGGCAUUUGCAUGUAGUGCUUCAACGUCUGCGAGAGCACCACCUUUAUGCCAAGUUAUCCAAGUGUGAUUUUUGGCUAAAGGAAAUCAAAUUCUUGGGUCACACUAUCUCUCAGGCAGGAAUAGCUGUUGAUCCUGAUAAAGUGCAAGAGGUGAUGAAAUGGAGGCCACCAACGACUGUUCGCCAGAUUCGGAGUUUUCUGGGAUUGGCUGGUUAUUACCGAAGAUUUAUUCCGGACUUCUCUCGGAUUGCGAAGCCUAUAACUGAGUUGCUGAAGAAAGAAGUCAAAUUUGUUUGGAGUCAGAAGUGCGAGGAUGCCUUCCAUGCAUUAAGGCAGCAUCUGACCACAGCACCAGUAUUGGCGCAACCCGACAACAGCAAGCCUUUUGAUGUGUAUUGCAAUGCCUCUGGCACCGGGCUAGGUUGUGUCUUGAUGCAAGACAACCGAGUCAUUGCUUAUGCCUCAAGAGCACUCAGGCCUCAUGAGCAAAAUUAUCCCACUCAUGACCUCGAGUUGGCAGCAGUGGUUCAUGCAUUAAAGAUGUGGAGGCACUAUCUAAUGGGAACCCACUGCAACAUCUUCACUGAUCAUAAGAGCCUUAAGUACAUUUUUACUCAGGCUGAUCUCAACAUGAGGCAGAGAAGAUGGCUAGAGCUGAUCAAGGAUUAUGACCUGGAGGUACAUUAUCACCCAGGAAAAGCUAAUGUGGUAGCAGAUGCCUUGAGUCGGAAGUUGCAAUGCAACUGUAUUCUGAUGGAUUCUCGCGUUAACACCUUGUGUGAUGAGUUGAGCAAGAUGCAAAUUGAAGUGAUUCCUUCUGGUUCCUUGUCUCACAUUUCUGUUGAGCCAGCUUUGCAAGACCAGAUUAUCAUGGCCUAGCUCAGUAAUAAGGGAGUGCAAAUUAUCAAGAAGAAUCUCCAUCAAAAGGUUGAGAAAUAUAAUUGUUUCCGCCAGGAUGAAAAGGGUGUGUUAUGGUUCAAAAGCAGAUUGGUGAUUCCUAAGGACCAGGACCUCAAGAGGAAAAUUUUGGAUGAGGCUCAUCUCUCCAAAUUCUCUAUGCAUCCGGGAAGCACCAAGAUGUACCAUGAUCUGAAGCCUUUAUACUGGUGGACCAGAAUGAAGAGGGAGAUAGCCCAGUAUGUAUCAGAAUGUGACACCUGUCAGAGGAUAAAGGUAAGCCACUUGAAGUCAGCUAUAGCUUUGCAACCCCUGUCCAUACCUUCGUGGAAGUGGGACGACAUCAACAUGGAUUUCAUUGUGGGUCUGCCCAACACCUCUCAUCAUCAUGAUUCAAUUUGGGUUAUUGUGGACCGAUUGACGAAAGUGGCACAUUUUCUUCCUGUGCACACCACUGAUAAGGCUCAGAAGUAUGCAGAAUUGUAUAUUGACCAGAUCGUGUGUUUGCACGGAUUACCUCGGACCAUUGUUACUGACCGAGGAGCCCAAUUUGUUGCCAGAUUUUGGGAACAAUUGCAAGAGUCUUUGGGAACCAAGCUAAUCAGAAGUUCAGCUUACCACCCACAGACUGAUGGUCAAACGGAAAGGGUAAACCAAAUUCUAGAGGAUAUGCUGAGAGCUUGUGCAAUCGAUUAUGGCAAGAACUGGGAUAAGCACCUCUCCUUGGCAGAGUUUGCUUAUAACAAUAGUUAUCAAUCCAGCCUAAAGAUGGCACCUUUUGAAGCUCUCUAUGGAAGGAGGUGCAGGACACCACUCAAUUGGUCUCAACCUGGAGAAAGAGGAGUUUUUGGACCUGACUUAGUGACUGAAGCCGAAAGGAAGGUCAAACUAAUCAGGAAGAAUCUAGAAGCUGCUCAGGCCAGGCAGAAGAGUUACCAUGAUAAAAGAAGGAAACCUCUCCAGUUCGAGGUGGGAAGUUUUGUAUACCUCAAGGUAUCACCCACCAAGGGAGUGCAGAGGUUUGGGAUCAAAGGCAAGCUAGCCCCUCGUUACAUUGGACCUUACGAGAUCAUAGAAGCAUGUGGACCCGUGGCAUACAAGCUGAAGUUACCUUCAAAGAUGUCUGCCAUUCACAGUGUAUUCCAUGUAUCUCAGCUGAAGAAAUGUGUUCGAUUGCCGACCGAGAUCUUAGCAGAGCCAGAAUUGGAGAUAGAGCCAGAUCUAUCGUACCAAGAGUACCCCUCCAAGAUUCUGGAUUGCAAAGAAAGAUCAACUCGGGCUAAAUCGAUCAAGAUGUACAAGGUCCAGUGGAGUAAUCACUCAGAGGAGGAAGCUACUUGGGAAACCGUGGAAUUCUUGAGAUCCAACUUCCCCGAUUGCCUACCUAAGGAAGUUGGUACGUAAUCACCCCCAACCCCUCCUCCUGCCUUUCGAAUCUAAUUUUCAAAAAUAUGAUCUUAAUUUAGAAUGAAGUAACUAUGAAGUAAAACUUAAAAGGACUUCCUUCUGAAGUUGCAAAGAGAAUGACAUUCGAAGAGCAGUUUUACCCUAACAAUAACAAUAAUCACCCAUUUCCUAUAAGUCUCACCCUUCGCUUCACCCUGGGAGGACUCUGGCCCGAAUCUCGGGACGAGAUUCCUUUAAGGGGGGAAGGCUGUGACACCCCAGUGUCACCUAGGGUUUCUCUCAAAUGCCAAACCAAGAACCCUUAUUUCAUGAGAACCAAAGUAAGCAUGAGCAUCAAAUUAACUUAAGUAAUAAAGGAUUCACCAAGUAUAUACUUAAAAGUAUCAUGAUCAAAACAAUUAAGUCUUUUAAAAAAGGUAAGAAUGUGCAACCCUAAUAAAAACCCUAAGUGAGCCCCAUGAGCAAAAUUAAAGAAAAUAAGGAAAAGGGUAUGAAAGAUUUGAAAUUGUGACUUGAGCCAAUUAUAAAAAUUGAAGUAUAUUUAAUGAGGAACAAGAAAGAUUAAGAAAGCUUGGCCAAAAUAACUCAAAUAAAACCCCAAAUCAAGCUUCUCAUGUGGGGACUUAAUGGGAAUUCUGAAUUUCAGAAUUCUGAAAUUCAGACCUUGAGCCAAAGAUCAGGGAUGUUCACCUUGAUCCCUAACUCGAAUCCUAAUGGCCCCAUUAACAAAAUUGUGUCUAACUAACCCCUCUGUCGUGUGCGAGAAGAUGGCAUUGGGACGCUAGCCCUAGACACGACAAAACCUUGGAUUUGCCUCGGGUUUGAGCAGGGAGACAGACCGGAUUUCCUGGCUCCAUAUCUCUGCAACCAGUAGGCAAAAUCCUAUGACCCCCACACAAGAUCGGUAGCUUGUAGGGAGGAGAAGUGGUUUUGUGCACUGACCAAGGCGAGAGCAGGCUCGGAUGAGCGACCACACGCGCCAGAACUUGGGCAGAACGCACGGGCACACGUGUUCGACCCUGGUCGGCACGCUAGAGCUCGCCUAACCCGCGCGCGCGCUCGCCCCGGCGUCCGGUCAAGUCCGUCGCGCGCCCUUGCCCUCGGCCGUGCCCGCCCUCGCCUAUAAAGCCUCCCCGGAGCACCUCACUUCGCCCCGCACUCAUCUUCACCGGCCGACCACUUUCCCUUAGCUCCGGCGAGCUUAAUUCCGCCCGCCAUUGCCGCUAGAGCUUCGGCCACCGUGGCCAGCCCACUCCAGCCACCCUCGUGUCAAGCCAGUGCUUCGGCUAGCUCCGCCAGUGGCCCGUGAAGCUUGCCAAGCCCUCGGACCAGGCCGGACUUCACCGGAGGCCCGAGAUCGACCUCACCGGACUUCGGUCUUCCGCCGCCGCGCGUGGACCAAGCUAUCCAGUGAGUCUCCGACCAAUUCCUUGCGCUCAUAUCUUUUUUGGCAUCCUGUGAACCUCUCUGACCCAUCCAAUUGAACUAUCUCGCCGUGAGCAGGCCAGACUCCUCGUCGCCGACGAGCAUCCCCGCCUGCGUGCGUGGACCGACCGACUCCGGCCAUCUCCGACGGCGACCCGCACACCGUUGUGAUCCCCGAGACCUCCCCUACGUCCUCGACCACUUCACCGGAGCAAUCUCGCCGCCGGUAAGCCCCUCCGCCCUUUCUUCCGUCGCGGUCACUGUUUAAGUUAGGAGAAGGACCUCGGGUUAGGAUUUGAAGAACCCGAGGGGUUUUCUGUAACGUCAGUGACUCAUGUGAAUAGUAGCCUAAGGACUGAUCCGCGAAGAAAACUUAGAAAACCCGCCAGGGACCCCAGUGCAAAGUGGAUUUCCAUUUAAUCAAUUCUGUUAAUCUUUUUUUUAUGACCAGAGAACUUAGAAAAUCCAUAACUUAAUGAAAUCUUAAUAAAGAGUUGUCAAACUAAUUUUGCUAGAUUUUGAAUAUUAUGGACUUUCAUUUAAAAAUGAUGAACCCUAUGCUUUCUGUUCUUAAUUUUAGAGUUUAAAAUUAAAAACAGAAACCUACCAAACCUUGUUUAAUUAAGGAAAAUUAGUUUUUCUUCUGUACUGAACCUAAGAAAAUUUGUAGAUGUUCAAACCUCACUUAAGCACUGUUUAAAAAUAGUAGGAACCCCAGCAUUGAAGAAUAUAGUGUAGAUAUUCAUGUAAAGCUAUUUUACCCAAAACUUAGGAAAAAUCAGAAAGGCAUUAGAAAUUAAUGAAUAGAGAGUAAAAUUAUUUUUCCUAGUUUGCUUAAGUAACAGAGAACCUAGGAAAAAUAAAGAGACCAUUAGUUCAGACCAGUUUUAAAUUAAAAUGUUUUAUUUAGCCUUAUUUGGACUGAAAAUCAAUUAUUAGAGAUACAAAACUAUACCCAAAAUGGAUAAUAAAAAUCCAGUGGACUUACAACCACCAGAGCCCCACUACAAAAAUAGAGAACACCUCAGCCCAACUUUUUAAGUAAGGAAAAUAAAUAUAAAAUGCUAAUGAGGCAUUUUUCAAAUAAAUCAUGAACAACCCCUAAUAAUGUGAUAAUGGGCAACCAAAAAUUUGGUAAGUCCAUAAUGAGAUAAACCACCAGAGAAAAAUGCAAACCCAUGAAAAAGGAGCAAACUCAGACCUAUCGCUAGUAUUUUAUGAGAAAGGCCACUUAAAUCAAAUAAUGCAUACCACCCCUUCCCUUAAGCAAAAAGAGGCCAAAUUUCAGAAUGAUUGCUCUUGCACAAAACAAUAACUAAGAAAAAUGAGAACUCUGUUGUUUGAUAUUUUUCAAAUAUAGUGGUAGUAGAAAGCACCUACUUGGCUAGAAACUUGAGAAAAUCAUAGAAAAAUAAUUAAAAGGUAUUAAUGACUAGAAAUUUGUAUCAAGUCAUGUUAUAACACCUAAAAGCCAGCAAAAAUAAGUUUUAGAGAAAUACCCACUGUUAAAUGAUAGUUGUAGUUCAAAGCACCCCUUCUGCCCUAGAAUUUAAUAAUUUUUUUCAGAGAAAACUAUUCACUUUCUGAUCCCCAAAUUUUGAGACAGAGAAACAUACACCAGUACCCAGCCACUGUAAUGUUUGCAGAAUUUUUAGAAUUUUAUAAAAGCAACUUGUAGUUCAAACCUACUCCAAAACCUUAAGAGAAUAAAAGAAAAGGAAAGAAGGAAUAAACCUCACCCCAAUAAGCCUAACUUGGGAACUGAUCAAUUCUCCCUAAGACUUAAAAAGAAUUCAGUGGAACCCCAAAAAUAAACCUACCACUUACCUUAGCUAAGUUUAACCCAAUUUACCAAGUAUACCACCCAAGGGACUUACAUAAGCAAAGUUAACCUUGUUUAACUCAAAGAAGAUCAUACACCUUUAAGUUGUAAUUUCUAAUAGCACAUAUCAUAUCAUGCAUAUAUCUUACGCAUUGCAUUUAUUAGAUUGUAAUCUUGCCGACGGAGAGUACGUGCUCAUCCCCGAGCAAGGACCUGUCCAAGAGGAAGACCAGGAGCAGGCUUCAGAGGCUGCUAUUGAGGAUCUCCCCGCAGCCCCAGCAAUUGAAGGCAAGCCCCGGUUUUAUGCAUAACCGUAUUAUUAUAUGCUACUUUACUACACUUAAUGCUUGUAGGAUUGCAAUGUGCACUUAAGUGUAGGAGUUGCUUGAAACCUCUAGUUGCAUGAACUUAGGAUUCCUUUUUGAGAUGAAUACUAGUAUGCUAGGUCGAGUAGCUGCUUGCUAAUCAGGAUCUCGGUAGAAGUCGAGUGAUUUUUCUAGCACUCGCGCGAGGUCAGGAAUUGAUUGUAUUCAUCUUGAUAACGGGAUAUAUGUUAGUCUAUGGACAUGGAUCCAGGGAGGAUGCCUUGUCCAUGAGACGGGAAAAAGGAAUUAAGGAUUAAUGUGUGGAUACCUGAGUCAAGCUUUUGAACGUACUAAGCACAUGCCGGGAAAAAUGGUAACCGGUAAACCUAGUACCUGAUUGAAGCCGGGUGCGGAUUUUAUCCCUCGUGCGACCUGAGACUAGGUCUCCCAUGCUAGCUAUGGUGGAUACAAGUGCGGUCACUGCACGGCGGCAGCCGGGGUCAGUGGAGCAUUGUAUGCCAAGGCGGUGAGGCCUGGACGCGAACGGGGAAUCGAUGGGGACGGUUGACAUGUGUGGGGACGGAGUGCCAUGACAUGUCGUGUGUUUAGGUUUACCUUGCAAGGUUAAAACUCGAUUCGAAUCGUCUGCUUCUCGCAGCUAAUGAGACUGCUUGACCCCUUGUACUGCAUCGAGUAAGAAGUGAAAUGUGGUUACAUGAGAUAACUUAUUGACUGAACUAAAUGAUUGUUACCAUGUAUGCUUAGAAGGAGCAAAUCUAGCUAAGUUAAUGAGGAUAGAAUUGGAAAAGCUAAAAACUGAUUUAGAAACAGCUAGUGCUUUUGGCAAACCAAACCCCUCAGCCAAACAGCUGCAUAGUCUAGAGGUAGAGGAGUAGACUCCUCACACCGGUUAAGUCUAGCUGAGUAUUAGUAUACUCAGCCUUGCUUGUGGCACAAUUUUUGCAGGUACCAUUUAGGAAAUGGUUGAUGGUGUGACUUGGCCUACCACCCUGCCACCGGGUUGGACGGUCGAGUGGGAUGUUGCUCCGACAGGAGAGGAGCACGAGGAGUAGUGGGCUAGGCCUUGCCCAAUUCCUCGAUACCGACGACAUCGAUUAUCCGCUGCACUUUAUUUUGUGACCUUUAUUUGCUACUCAAGAACUCCGAUUUAUGUAAUAACUCAGUACUUAAUUUGAGGUUUCCUGUUUUAUUGUAUUUCUUCUGUGACUCACCUUCGAGUGAGAUUGUGGAAUUUGAUCCUGGUUAAGUGGCUCUAUCAGACUAGAUCUGAAGGACUGACGGGUUAUUCCGAUUUAAGUGUGUUACGGCCCCUGAGGCGUGACUUAGGCACUUAAGCUGGAAUAAUUCGGGUGGUUCUGCCACUGCAGUUCUGCUGCCAAGGGAGAAGCAUCAUCAAAAGUAAAGGCAUCAUGAUUAAAUUCAUCAUACCAUCCAUCUUCGUUGAAUAAGCCUUCUUGACGAAGCUCCCUGUGUUGGGGCCAUCGAUCUUGUUCAUCUCGAGCAAGAUGACGCACUUCUUCAGUAGCUUCAUCGAUCUUCUUUUGAAGAUCAGCCAGUCGCGCCAUCUUCUCCUUCUUCCUUUGUACUUGCUGAUGGAUGAUUUCCAUGUCCCUGAUUUCUUGGUCCAACUCCUCCUCCUAGAGUGUUGGACUGGUGGCCUUCCUCUUCUGGCUUCGAGCUUCUCGGAGAGAAUGAGUUU